rnacentral:lncRNA from 1 species
CAGAUUCAGAUUCAAGAGAAAAAGCUCAAUCAAUGCUACUGGAAUCAACUAGACAAAAGGAAAACCAGAGAAGGACAAGCGAGACCGCCCAGCCAAAUUAAGAUUUUCACGGAGCGGAACACCGGAUUGAAAGCAGGAUCUGGACGAGUUAGGAUGGAGGUGAAGAGCAGGGAGUGAUUAUGGACGAGUCAAUCGCAGAAGAUUGAAAGCAGUAGAGAGAAGGGCCUCAGGAGAAGGAAAACACAAAAAAAAAAAAAAAAAGGUAUUUAAUUGAGUGUGACAGAUGAAAAUAAGGAGAUGAAAGGUUUGAGGUAUCCAAACAGCAGAGUAUGUGGAAGGUUUUAGCUAUGAAGGAAACAAGAAAUCUUUCUUCUUUUUUUUGUUCGUUUUCAAGAGGAGACGAGAGGAGAGGAGAGGAGAGGAGAAACACAAAGCAACAAAAAGGAAAAUGAGAUUGAUUACUUGGAAGAACGAGCGCGAAGGGGAGAAAGUAGGAAGAGUCGAUAAAAUGAGAGAAGGGCUACAGAGUGGAGACUGAGGAAAAGGGCUGCAGAGUGAAGAGACUGAGAAAGACGGAGAACAGUGCAAUAGAGUGAAGAGACUGAGUAAUAUCCAUCAUUGACAAUGACUCAUUUUAGUUUUAGUCGCACAUCACAUGUUUGAAUUUGGCAACCAAGACACCAAAAUAACCAAGCUUAUCUGGCUAAUUUGAUUACUAUAGAAAUUGGUUGAAAAUACUUCAUGUAACAUUUAAUACCUUAUGGAUUAAAAUAUCAUCUUUAUUCAAACACUUUCAUCAAUUCAUUUCUUCCAUUUAUAAUAAAAUAUUUAUACAAUUAUUUUUUAAGAUUACUCACAACAAACAAAGUAAAAAAAAAUAAACUUUAAAUAAUUAAAAUAUAUUUUUAUAAAACACACUGUUUUCGUAAUAAGAUCUUAAAAAAAUAUUUUUUUUAGUAUGAAAAAUAAUGUUUCUAUUUUUAAGAAAUAAAAGUGUUUUUAAAAAUAGUUAAAAACAUGCUCGAAGGUUUUGAUUGGGCGGUGGUUUAAUAAGCACAACAACCUGUCACCCUUACAUUUUCAACUAAAGCAAAUAUCUUUGGACUUCGAUCCUUGCUUGAGUGUAACUGUGUAAGGAGGUAUUAUUAUUGUGGACCGUACUAAACUGAAAAGGUCUAGUUGAUGUUAUUAGCUGGCUUUUCAAUCAUUCUGACAAAUAAAAAUGAAGAACUUGAACGGCUAGGAGAAGUUGAUGAUUAACUAGAGCGAAACCAUAAAUCCAAGAUAAAUUUAUCAUAAUAUAAAUAAAUUAAUAUCUUAAAAAUUAACAAAUUAAAUAUCUUAAAUUAAUAAAUUAUACAAUUUUAUAUAUUAUUUAUAUGUUAUAUAAGUUUAUUAUUUUAAGAUUAUUAAUUUAUUAAUAAAUCAAAUAUUCAUUUAUAAUAUCUUCUAUUUAUCAAUUUAUGUUUGUUGAAAUAAUACUAUAUUUUUAAGUUUAAAUAUAAAUAAUUUAUUAUUUAAGUAUAUUUUUAAAUUUUCGAUCAUCAAUUGUAAUUUAAUAGUUUUUAAUUAAAUUUGAAAGUAAAAAAAAAAAUAUUAUAAUUGAAAUCUCAGUUAUUAACUAUUAUACUAUUAUUUCGAUAAAGAUAAAUUUAUCAUAAUACAAAUAAAUUAAUAUCUUAAAAAUUAACAAAUUAAAUAUCUUAAAUUAAUAAAUUAUACAAUUUUAUAUAUUAUUUAUAUGUUAUAUAAAUUUAUUAUUUUAAGAUUAUUAAUUUAUUAAUAAAUCAAAUAUUCAUUUAUAAUAUCUUCUAUUUAUCAAUUUAUGUUUGUUGAAAUAAUACUAGAUUUUUAAAUUUAAAUAUAAAUAAUUUAUUAUUUAAGUAUAUUUUUAAAUUUCAUUCAUAAAUUGUAAUUUAAUAAUUUUUUAAUUAAAUUUUAAAUUUAAAUAAAAAAUUAACUAAAGCCGCGUUUGGCAACUGCGGCUUUAGUACAAAAAUGAAGCCGCGUUUGCCAACUGCGGCUUUAGUGCAAAAAUGAAGCCGCAUUUGCCAACUACGGCUUUAGUAUAAAAAUGAAGCCGCGUUUCCCAACUGCAGCUUUAGUGUAAAAAUGAAGCCGCAUUUCCCAACUGCGCCUUUAGUGCAAAAAUGAAGCCGCGUUUCCCAACUGUGGCUUUCACUAUAAUGACGAAAAAAAAAUAUUUUUUAAUGAUGUGGCGCCUACGUGGCAUCAAAGAGGUCAUUUUGAACAAUAGUUUCAAAAUGUGCCCAUUUUGAACAUUAAGUUUCAAAAAUGGGUCAUUUUGACCCAAAACUCGAAUUAUUAGCUCUCUUUUCGAUAUUCUGACGAAGAAAGUAACAAAACAGAGAGAGAUAGGAAAAGUUGAACUGUCCACGGAUGUGGUUAAUUGUUAGCUAGCUGGCUUUGAAUCACCCUUACGAAGAAAGCGACAAGAGGUAGAAAGAUAGAACGACAGGAAAAUGAUCAGAGGUUAUUAUACUUAUAUUUAUAACUAAUUAUAUUUAUAUUAAAUAUAAUACCAAUUAUUUUAAUAAAAUUAAAUAAAAAUAUUUUUAUAUCAAAUUAAAAAUAUUAAUUAUUUAAUUUUAUAUAUUAUUAUUUUUUAAAUAAUGAGAUAAAUUUGUUAAUCAUUUACAUAUUUUUAAUAAAUAUAAAAUUAAAAUUAAAUAUUUUAAAUAAAAUGACAUAAUUAUAUAUAUAUAUAUAUAUAUAUAUAUAUAUAUAUAUAUAAUUAAAAUUAAAGUAAGGUGAAUAUGAUUUUUGAUUGUUUUAAAAAAAUAAUAUGAUAAUUAUUAAUUAUGAUUUUAUGAUAUGAUAAUUUAUAUGCCGUAAGCAUAAAUAAAAGCAUUAUUAUUAUAUGAUAAUUUACGUGGCACAAGCACGUUAGAUGAAGCAUUAUUUUGAAAAUCGGUUUAGUUUAUGGAAAUUUUUUUUUUUCAAAUGUCCCAUUUUGGUUCAAAACUCAAUGUGAAGGCAAAGAGUUGGUAUGACAGGAUUACACAAGAACCGCCUAUAAUACAAAACCAAGCAAAGUGUCAUGGCUUUAGGUGUAGUCUCUGUAGAGAGUGUAAGAAUGCAUUGGGUUGUGGACGACUUAGUCAUGACCAUUAAUCCUGUUGUCAAACUCCCAUUUGUGUGAGACUGCAGAAGUCUAAUAAUAAAGGUGUUGUCGUGUUGAAAAGUAGAAAGCAUAAUCAUUUUGUGGCUUCGGUCACCAUACCUUUAACUUUUACCCUAUACAAAUAAGCCACGUGUAAAGUUUAGAAGAAUAAAAAAUUCAAAAAAAUCAAUACUUCAAGUUACCAACUGAUGGCGAUUGAUGAAAAUUUAUACGGGGAUAUUGGAUUUCGAUGGUCGUCAAAAUGAAAUAGAAUCCAAAAAAAAAAAAGUUUGGCUUAAAUCUUGCCGGGGGCAAGCUCACCCCUUAUAUAUAUAUAUAUAUAUAUAAAUAUAUAUAAUUUUCAUAUAAACAAAAUAUUAAAACAAUAUUUUAAAUAAUAAAUUAAUUAUAAUUAAAUAAAAUUUUAUUAUUUAAUUAAUUAUAAAAAUUAUCAUAAUAAUUUUAUUUAUAAUAUUUUAAAUAUUAUUAAUAUAUUAAUUAAAUAUUAAAAAAUUAUACCUAUAUCAUCAUUUAUUUUAUAUCAUUUAAUAUAAUUAAAUUAAAUAUAUCAUAAUUUUAAUAUUAAAUAUAUUUUAAAAUUAAAUAUAUUAUAAUAAAAUAUUAUAAUAUUAUUAUCAAAUAAUAUAUAAUGUAAUUUAAUAAUGAAUAUACACUUAUAAAAUUUAUAUUUAUAUUUUUUAUUCUUGCAUAUAAUAUUAUUAUCAAAUACUAUUAUUCAAUUAUUUAACAAAACAACUUUAAAAUAUUUAUUAUAUUUCUAAUUAUAUUUUUUUAUGAAAAUUUUCUUAUAUUUUCAUUAGUUUUGAUAAAUUUUAGACUUAUUAAUUUUUUUUUUCAAAAUAUCAAUCAAUUUAUGUCCGAUAUAUUUGUAAAAUCGAAAUAUUGGUAUAUUUUUAUUAAUCUUUGAAAAGAAGCAAUCUCAUGCACUUUAAAUUUAAAUUAUCUUUACAACCAUCAAUUAUAUUAUUGAACUAUUUAUUUUAUAAAAAUGGUAAAAUAUUUAAAAUUUUGUAAAAAGAAUAAUUUGUGAAAUAAAAUUUGCCACUUAUUUUAUGAUAUAAGGUUUUAAUACUAAUACCUUGUGAAAAAAAACUCGUUUAUAAUUAAAUUAAAAUGAACAUUUAUUAUUAAAAAUCAGAAUUAUAAUCAAUCAAUUAUUAAUUAAAAAUGGUAUUAUUAAUUGCAAUUUAUUGUUAUUUUUUUAUACAUAGGAGAUUGGAUUAAAUAUUGAAAGCAUUUUUUGGAAGUGGAAAAAAAAUUGUUAAAAUAAAAAAAAAAUUGAGAAUUUUGGAGAGUGCCAAGAAUGUGGGAAUGGUACAAAAAUGUGAGGAAAUUUUUGUGUGCCUAACUUCCAUAAUUUACAAGGAUGAUUAGUAUACCUAAGCAAUAUUGAUGCUAUUAGAAGUGUCAAAAAAAUUAAAAUAAAUUUAAAAAUUAGAGGGUAUGAAUGUAAUCAAUAUUUUAAAACAAUAUCAUAACUAUUUGGAAUGGAAUUUAAAAAAAAUAAUAAUAAUAUAAGUAUUUAUCAUUUAAAACUUGAUUUUCUUUAAAAUCCGAGUUUUAUCAAAUAUACCUUAGGCAAAUUGAUUCAAAAUUGACAUAUUAACUCACCUAAAGAUCUUGCCUAAGUGUUGGAAAAUAAAUAAAUUCAAAAAGAUAGGUUUUCGUGGCCAAAAGGUUCAACCUGUCGAGGCUAUGGCCAACCGACUCAACCAGUUGGGGAACCGGUCUACCGGUUGCCCUUGUCCGGUUGAGGGAGGCACAAAAACCUUCUCUCUCUUCUAGUAGCUUCCUCUUCCCAGUCGAGUCUCAUCCUUGUCCGGUCGAGGUCCGAUGGAGGCAACGGUAACCUGUCAUGCAUUAAAUGCUCCAACGGCUAGUGAUCCGGUCGACCCCUUGAUCGACCCGUCAAGGUUACUUUCUGAUAUUUUUGGCUCCUGAGCUUAGAAACCUAUAAAUUGAGAACCCCACUUUAUUAAUGACUAAGAGAACCUUUGCAAUCAAUUGUCUACCUACCUGUUCUUGAUCAAAAAACUCUCAUUUCUUUCUUAGUGCAUUAAAUCAUCACUUGCAUAACUUUAGUGCACUCUUGUGAAUCAUCCUAACUUUCUUUUGUAUUUGAGUCAUCCUUAAGCUAGGUUGAGAGUUUCAUCAUUGUAUAAACUGAGUGUGAAAGCCUUCAAGAGGUUCAAAUCUUGAAGAGAUUGUGUAGGAGUCCAUUGGAACCAGAAUCAAAGUGUAAGAAGAUUGAAAGUCUGAUUAAAACUUCAAGUUAAUGGAACCCUCACUCGGUUAGGAGAUUAAGGAGAGUGAAUAUAGGUAAGGAAGUGUCGAACCACUAUAAACCCGAGUUUGAAUUUUCUAACUCUAUCUCUUUACUUUAUUUAUAUUGUGCAUAUAUUGUUGUGUUUGAAAAAGUUUUGAAAAAUCCAAUUCACCCCCCUUUUGGGUGUUUUCCUUAAUUAUUCAUAACCUUUGUUUUAUCAAGUUGGACUAUAAUUUUUUUAUAUAAUUGUUAUGCUAGGGUGGUACAGAAAUGAUAAUGGGGGAGAAGGGAAGUAUGGGAGUUUGAGGGCAAAAUAACUCUUUUAUUUAAAAAAAAAAAAAAAAAGUUGCACCUUAUAACCCCUUUACAAAAUUUUAAUUUGAAAUUAACCCUUUUUUUAUCUAAUAAGAGUCGCGUCAUAAAAAAUUGAAAUUUCAAUUACUGACUGCAACUUUAUUUUUGAACUAUAUUAUAAUUGGUAAUUAAGACUUCAUUUUUAAAUUGAAGCCUUAAUUAUCAAUUGAGCUUUAUUUUUAAAUUGAAAUCACAAUUGAUAAUUAAUAUUUUAUUUUUUAACUGAAAUCUCAAUUGUAAAUUGAGGCUUUAAUUAUUUUAUUUUUAUUUUAAACUUUAAUUAAAAAUAUUAAAUUACAAAUUAUUAUUAAAAUUAAAAAUAUAUACUUUAACAAUAAAAAUUUUAUAUAUUUAAAUUUAAAGACGUAGCAUUACUUCAAUAAAGAUAAAUUGAUAAAUAUAAUAAUAAAUAUAUAUUUUAUUUAUCAAUAAAUUAAUAAUCUUAAAAAAAUAAAAUUAUAUAAGAUAUAAAAUUAUAUAAUUUAUUAAUUUAAGACAUUUAAUUUAAUAUCUUUUAUUUAUAUUUUGAUAAAUUUAUCUUUAUUGAAAUAAUAGUACACUCUUAAGUUUCAUUUUUUAUUAUUUUAAAGCAUAUGUUUAUAAUUUUAGGUAAAAAAAAAGAUCAUUAUUUAUACAUACCAUAUAUAUGUCUUCAAGAUACAUUUGAAAUUAGUUAAUGAAAUUAAUUAAAAAAAGUCUACCGAUAUUUUUUAGUAGUUUUAUCAAAUUCACAAAAUAUACCCAUUAAUAAUAUAUUUAUAACUAAUUAUAUUUAUAUUAAAUAUAGUACCAAUUAUUUUAAUAAAAUUAAAUAAAAAUAUUUUUAUAUCAAAUUAAAAAAUAUUGAUUAUUUAAUUUUAUAUAUUUUUAUUAUUUAAAUAAUGAGAUAAAUUUACUAAUUAUUCACAUAUUUUUAAUAAAUAUAAAAUUAAAAUAAUAUAAUAUUUUUAUUUUAAAAAAUAAAAAUAAAAAAUUUUCAAAUGAAAUAACAUAAUUAUAUAUAUAUAUAUAUAUAUAUAUAUAUAUAAUUAAAAUUAAAAUUAUAGUUGAGAACUAUGAUUUUUUGAUCGUUUUGAAAAAAUAAGAUGAAAGUCACUAAUUACAAUUUUAUGAUAUGAUAAUUUACGUGGCACAAGCUUAAAUAAAACAUUAUUAUUAUUACGGUUUUAUUAAAUGAUAAUUUACGUCGUACAAGCACAUUAAAUGAAGCUUUAUUUUGAAAAUUGGUUUACUUUAUGGAAUUUUUUUUUAUUAAAAAAUAUUUUUUUAGUAUGAAAAAUAAUGUUUCUAUUUUUUAAAAAUAAAAGUGUUUUUAAAAAUAGUUAAAAACAUGCUCGAAAGUUUUGAUUGGACGGUGGUUUAAUAAGCAUAACAAUCUGUCAUCCUUGUGUUUUCAAUUAAAGCAAAUAUCUUUGGACUUGGAGUCCUUGCUCGAGUAUAAGGAGGUAUUAUUAUUGUGGACCCUCUUGUCCACUCUAAGCUGAAACUCUGUGGUUUAUGUUAUUAGCUGGCUUUUCAAUCAUGGCUUUUCAAUCAUUCUGACAAAUAACAAUGAAGAACUUGAGCGGCUAGAAGAAGUUGAUGAUUAACUAGAUCCAAACCAUAAAUCGAAGCUCAACCCAAGGACUUGAUAAUUUAAAAAAGUUAUGAUUAAAUUAUUGUAAUAGAAGAAGUUAUUAUAAAUAUAUAGUAGUUUUUACCAUCUAGGAGAGAGGAGAUAGUAAAGAGGAGAGAGGGUGAACGGAUAAAUUUUUUUAAAACCAAAAUCAUCUUUUCAAAUUUCAAAAGGUGAAAUUGUCUUUUCGAACAAAGGGAACUUGUCUCUUCAAGAGACGAGUUCCAUGAAAAAAAAUAUAUAUAUACUUUUUUAAAAAUUCCCCAUUUACUCAAAGGAACUCGUCUCUUCAAGAGACGAGUUCCAUGAAAUAUAUAUAUAUAUUUAAAAAAAUUCCCAAAUUAAAAAAAAAAAAAAACAAGGAACUCGUCUCUUCAAGAGACGAGUUCCCUGAAAAAAAAUAUAUUUUUAAAAGAAUUCCCAAAUUAUAAAAUAAAAAAAAUUUUAAAAAAAAAACAAUUCGGAACUUGUCUCUUGAAGAGACGAGUUCCCUGAAAAAAAAUAUAUAUUUUUUUUUUAAAUUCCCAAAUUAUUAAAAAAAAAAAAAAAAUCAAUUCCUCAAGGGAACUCGUCUCUUGAAGAGACAAGUUCCCAUGAAAAAUAUAUAUAUAUAUAUAUAUAUAUAUAUAUAUUUUAAAAAAAUUCCCAAAUUAAAAAAAAAAAAAUCAAUUCCUCAAGGUAACUCGUCUUUUCAAGAGACGAGUUCCCAUGGAAUUCAAAAAUUCCCAAAUUAAAAAAUAAUAAUAAUAAUAAUUUCCUCAAGGGAACUCGUCUCACGAGUUCCCAUGGAAAAAAAAUAUAUAUUUUAAAUAUAUAUAUAUAUAUAUAUUUUUUUUUUUUUUAAAAAAAAAUUUCCUCAAGGGAAAUCGUCUAGUUCCCUGAAUAUAUAUAUAUAAAUUAUUAAAAUAAAAAAAAAAAAAAUUCCUCNNNNNNNNNNNNNNNNNNNNNNNNNNNNNNNNNNNNNNNNNNNNNNNNNNNNNNNNNNNNNNNNNNNNNNNNNNNNNNNNNNNNNNNNNNNNNNNNNNNNNNNNNNNNNNNNNNNNNNNNNNNNNNNNNNNNNNNNNNNNNNNNNNNNNNNNNNNNNNNNNNNNNNNNNNNNNNNNNNNAAAAAAAAAAUUUUUUUUUUUUAUGGAGACUUUUUUUUUGAAAGAAAACGAGUUCCCCUUGGGGAAUUUUUUUCUUUUUUUAAAAAAAUUUGGGAAUUUUUUUUUUCCAUGGGAACUCGUCUCUUGGAAAGACGAGUUCCCUUGAGGAAUUGUUUUUUUUUUUUUUUUAAAUUUAAUAAUUUGGGAAUUUUAUAUAUAUAUAUAUAUAUACAUAUAUAUAUAUUUUCAUGGAACUCGUCUCUUGAAGAGACGAGUUCCCUUGAGGAAAUAUAUAUAUAUUUUUUUUUCAAUUUGAGACUUUUAAAAAAAUAUAUAUAUAUAUAUAUAUUUUUAAAAAAAUAUUUUUUUUUUCCAUGGAACUCGUCUCUUGAAGAGACGAGUUCCCUUGGAGGAAAUUCCUUUUUUUUGUUUUUUUUUUUUUAAUUUGGGAAUUUAAAAAAUAUAUAUAUAUACUUUUAAAUUUUUUUUUCCAUGGGAACUCGUCUCUUGAAGAGACGAGUUCCCUUGAGGAAUUUUUUUUUUUUUUUUUUUUGGGAAUUUUUUUAAAAAAAAUAAAAAAUAUAUAUAUUUUUUUUUCCAUGGGAACUCGUCUCUUGAAGAGACGAGUUCCCUUGAAAUUCUUUUUUUUUUUUUUUAAUUUUUAAUUUGGGAAUUUUUUUUUAAAUAUAUAUUUUUUUAAAAAAAUAUUUUUUUUUUCCAUAGGAACUCGUCUCUUCAAGAGACGAGUUCCCUUNNNNNNNNNNNNNNNNNNNNNNNNNNNNNNNNNNNNNNNNNNNNNNNNNNNNNNNNNNNNNNNNNNNNNNNNNNNNNNNNNNNNNNNNNNNNACGUGUUCCCCGAGUUCCCAUGAGGAAUGAUUUUUUCAUUUUAUGAAUUAUUUUUUUUUAAUUUGGAAAAUUUUUUUUUCUGUGGAAACUCCUAUCUAGAAGAGACGGAGUUCCCGUGAGGAUUUUUGUUUCUUUUUUAAUAAAUUGGGAAUUUUUUAAAAAUAUAUAUAUAUAUUUUAUAUAUAUAUAUAUAUUUCCAGGGAACUCGUCUCCUUAAGGAAUUGUUAUUUUUUUUUUUUAAUUUGAGAAUUUUUUUUAUAAAAAAUAUAUAUAUAUUUUUUCAUGGAACUCGUCUCUUGAAUAGACGAGUUCCUUUAAGGAGUUUUUUUUAAUAAAUGAGGAAUUUUUUUAAAUAUAUAUAUAUAUAUUUUUUAAAAUAUAUAUAUAUUUUUAAAAAAAUAUACAUAUAUUUUUUUUCAUGGAACUCGUCUCUUCACGAUUUCGCUUUUUGAAAUUUGAAAAUAUGAUUUUGGUUUUAAAAAAAUUUAUCCAUUCACCCUCUCUCCUAUCUCCUCUCUCCUAGGUGGCAAAAACUACCAUAUAUUUGUAAUAACUUCUUAGGAGAAUUAUCUUUUAGGGGUAGAUGGGUUCUCAAAUUAACAAAAGGUCCAUAUAACCCUUCAAAUUGAGUUGAAGGAUAUGAAAUAGUAACGGGCAAAUAUACCCUUUAAGAACAUAUAUAAAAUAUUUUAUAAAAUUAAGUUAAAUAAUUUUUUUUCAAUAAUUUUUUUUUCAAAAAUAUUAAAUUAAAUAAAAGUAGUUUUCAAAAAUAUUAAAUUAAAUAAUUUUUUUUCAAAAAUAUUAAAUUAAUUUUUUUUUCAAAAAUGUUAAAUUAAUUUUUUUUUCAAAAAUAUUAAAUUAAAUUAAAGUAUUUAAAAAAAUAUUAAAUAAAAUAUUUUUUUUAAAUAUUAAAUUAAAUAAAUUUAUUUUUAAAAAAUAUUAAAUUAAAUAAAUUUAUUUUUUAAAAAUAUUAAAUAAAAUAAAAGUAUUUUAAAAAUUAUUAAAUUACAUAAAAGUAUUUUUCAAAAAUAUUAAUUUUUUUUCUCAAAAUCAACAAAGGGCAUUUUUGGAAAUACUGAAGAAUGAUAUCCUUCAAUUUAAUUUCCAUACUUUCAUUGGGUCUUGGGCUUAAUUUGAAGAGUUACAUGGACCUUUUGUUAAUUUGGGGGCCCAUCUACCCCCAAAACAUAAUUCUCCCUAACUUCUUCUACUACAAUAAUUUAAGCAUAACUUUUUUAAAUUACCGUACUAUUAAGAAAAGUCCCUCAACCCAAUCACUCUAAAUAAUCAAUUCACACCCUACCCACUCUCAUUUCUUUUUCAAGUUUAGGUUAAGUUGGGUACGAUUAGAUUAAAUUCGGAUUAAUUAGGUAGUAUAAUUCAAAAUUUAUUUAUAAUAUUUUAAAAAAUAUUGUAAGAGAAAAUUUUAAGAUAACAAAAUAAAUAAAUAAAUUUACAUAUUUUUUUAAAAAUAAAAAAAUAUAUGAUGUAAUAUAUUUUGAUAUAUUUUCUCUUUAUAAUCUUUAUUUCAUAGAAUAAUAUACAUUAUAAAUAUUAAAUCGGUUCGAAUUAGAUCUCAAUUAUAUGAAUCUUUGCCUCAACACAAUCCAAAUUAAACUCAAACUAAAAGACCUAACUCAACCCGAGUAUUAUUAACUCGGAUUGAAAAAACCUAAAAGUUGGAACACAAUCUGUAGACCCCCUUUGGUGGAAAAAGGCCCGGGGGGGAAGUGAUUUCUCAAGGACUUCUCAUUAUAUUUUAGAAGGGGUAGGGGACCCCAGCGGCUGACUGAUGGACCCCUUCUCUAGGCACGGACGUGCAACUGCAGGGGGGCGGUUGCAAGCCCAUGCUGGCUGAUGCAUGAACAGGAGGGUGGGUGAUGGUUAGCUGAGGAAGAAAAAACGGAGGAAGAAAGAAAAGAGGGGGGAGGUUUUUUUGGCAAGUCUGCGGGGGGAUCCCAGGAGAGCAAAAGCAGAGAGAAAAAAAAAGAGGACUGGAGGUACAUACGGGGUGUUUUCUUUGCUCAUUUUGGCUAGAGAGGAGCUCUCCCAAGUGCGGUAUUGUGGAUUUUUAUUGUUCAUGUUUCUGAUUACAUUGUUAUUCAUGCAUAUUUCUUGUUACUUCUUUUAGCUUUCAUUUGCUACUCGGAUGUGACUAUUCUGCUAUUCUCUCAUUCUCUUUGUUUUUUUGUUUGGGGCUACCAUGCGUAUGGGUUCAUCCAAAUCAUGUUAAUGCUCUCGUUCAUGGCCCACGGAUUCACAUAUGAAAAUGAGGUUCCAUAAGUUUGCAUUUUCUUUUUUUUCUUUUUUUUCUUUCUCUGUUUCUUCCUUGGGGACACGAGGACUUCUCCUUCUUUUUGUGGGACUGGUCUCGGCUCGGAGGGAUGUGAGGAGGUUUUGAGAGAGAGAGAGGGAAUUGUAGGAAGAACUAGCCGCAAGCUUGAGAGAAAAGAUGAGCAUGAGGGCAAAUCUGGAACUGAUAACAUGGACGACGUUUCCGGGAAUGAUCAGGUUGCUGCUGACAACCCACGAAGGAAGAAGAGAUACCACCGACACGCUCUUCGGCAAAUCCAAGAAUUUGAAGCACUGCUCCAGGAGUGUCUUCAUCCUGGUGAAAAGCAAGGGUUGAGACUCCGCAAAAGGCUUUGCUUGGAGACUAGGCAAGUGAAGUUCUGGAUCCCAAAUCGUCGCACUCCCUAUUAUUCCAGUUCUUGGUGAUAAUCUGAAGCUUGAGGUAGAAAGGUUGAAGAAAGAGAAGUUGUCCUUUGCAUUGUCACGGGGCGUUUUUUUUAUUGGGAGAAUUAUCUUUUGGGGUAGAUGACCCCAAAUUAAUAAAAGUUCCAUAUAACUCUUCAAAUUGAGUUGAAGGAUAUGAAAUAGUAAUGGACAAAUAUACCAUUUAAUAACACAUAUAAAAUAUUUUAUAAAAUUAAGUUAAAUAAUUUUUUUUUAAUAAUUUUUUUUUUCAAAAAUACUAAAUUAAAUAAAAGUAGUUUUCAAAAAUAUUAAAUUAAAUAAUUUUUUUUUUGAAAAUAUUAAAUUAAAUUUUUUUUCAAAAAUAUUAAAUUAAAUUAAAGUAUUUAAAAAAAAUAUUAAAUUAAAUAUUUUUUUAAAUAUUAAAUUAAAUAAAUUUAUUUUUUAAAAUAUUAAAUUAAAUAAAAGUAUUUUAAAAAAUAUUAAAUUACAUAAAAUUAUUUUUUUUUAAAUAUUAAAUUAAAUAAAAGUAUUUUUUAAAAAUAUUAAUUUUUUUUUCUCAAAAUCAACAAAGGGCAUUGUUGGAAAUGUUGAAGGAUGAUAUCCUUCAACUCAAUUUCCACACUUUCAUUGGGUCUUGGGCUCAAUUUGAAGAGUUGCAUAGACCUUUUGUUAAUUUGGGGGCCCAUCUACCCCCAAAACAUAAUUCUCCCUUUUUUCUUUUACCACUCAAACGUCUUCUUAUUCUCUCUCAUGCGUAACACCCAUAUUUUUCCUUGACUUUUCCCCCACUCAAAUAUCCUUCCAUCCUCUGUCUUAUACAUGCAGCCACAUGUUUUGCUCCCAAACCUAUUUAAUAUGUGGGGACCACAUGUUUUGCUCUCAAAUCUGAGUUUAAGACCAAAAUAAUUUAUUUGUAAAAAAAAAUGAUAAGAAUAGUAUCCAUUUGAAAAUAUUUGUCAAAGUAGUCUUCUUUGUCCACGUAAGCAUCCAUAUGGAUUUUAAGUAUAAAAAACCACCGUUGAUGACUGUGGUUUUAAAACUUAUAGAAAUUUCCUUAAAACCACAGUUACAAACUGUGGUUUUAUAAUUUCUCUUAGAACCACAGUUACUAACUGCGGUUUUAAAAGAAGUUUCCUUAAAACCACAGUUACAAACUGUGGUUUUACAAUUUCCCUUAAAACCACAGUUAGUAACUGUGGUUUUACAAUCAUUUUCAAUCCGCAUCUAUUUUAAUGGUGUUAUAAUUUUAAUAUUAUUUUUAAAAUAUUUUUUUUAUCAAAAUUACAAUUAUGUUGUAAUUUUUUAUCAAAAUAUUUUUUUAUCAAAAUAAUUGUAAAACCACAGUUACUAACUGUGGUUUUAAGGGAAAUUGUAAAACCACAAUUUGUAACUGUGGUUUUAAGGAUAUUUCUUUUAAAACCAUAGUUAUAGUAACUAUGGUUUUAUGGGUAUUUUGAUAAAAAAAAAUUUUAAAAAUAAUAUUAAAAUUACAACACCAUUAAAAUAGAUGUGGAUUGAAAAUAAUUGUAAAACCACAGUUAGUAACUGUGGUUUUAUGGUUGUUUUGAUAAAAAAUAUUUUUAAAAUAAUAUUAAAAUUACAAUACUAUUAAAACAGGUGUGGAAUAAAAAUAAUUGUAAAAUCAUAGUUACUAAUUGUGGUUUUAAGGGAAAUUGUAAAAUCAUGGUUUGUAACUGUGGUUUUAAGGAUAUUUCUUUUAAAACCAUAGUUAUAAUAACUAUGGUUUUAUGGGUAUUUUGAUAAAAAAAAAUAUUUUAAAAAUAAUAUUAAAAUGUAAAACCAUAGUUACUAAUUGUGGUUUUAUGGUUAUUUUGAUAAAAAUUAUUUUAAAAAUAAUAUUAAAAUUACAACACCAUUAGUAAAACCACAGUUAGUAACUGUGGUUUUAUGGUUGUUUUGAUAAAAAAAUAUUUUAAAAAUAAUAUUAAAAUUAUAACACCAUUAAAAUGGGGAUGGAUUAAAAAUAAUUGUAAAACCACAGUUACUAACUGUGGUUUUAAGGGAAAUUGUAAAACCACAGUUUGUAACUGUGGUUUUAAGGAAACUUCUUUUAAAACCGUAGUUAGUAACUGUGGUUCUAAGAGAAAUUAUAAAACCACAGUUUGUAACUGUGGUUUUAAGGAAAUUUCUAUAAGUUUUAAAACCACAGUCACCAAUGGUGGUUUUUUACACUUAAAAUCCAUGUGGAUGCUUAUGUGGACAAAGAAGACUACUUUGACAAAUAUUUUCAAAUGGAUACUAUUCUUAUCAUUUUUUUUUACAAAUAAAUUAUUUUGGUCUUAAACUCCUCAAAUCUCUUAAAUAUAUGGUGGUCCCGGUGAUUUUCUUUUCUUUGCCAUCUAACCACUCCUAAUAACAAAGCCACAACUUAUAUUUUAAUAUUAUUACUUAUGUCUCCAUAUUUUAAUAUCCACCCGAAAAUCUCAAUUCUAAAUCUAAUUUUCAAAAUCUCAAUUUUCAUUUAAUUUCCAAAAUUCAACUUCCACAUUUAUUUGUUUAAUUACCAUUAUUAUUGUAAUUAUUAUUAUUGUUACUAUUAUUAUCAUUAUUUUAUCCAUUUAUUUAUUUUUAAAUUCCAUUCUCAAAUUUUAUUUAUUUAUUUAUUUUUAAAUUCCAUCUUUUAAACAAUUUUCAUAAUUGAAGUUUCAAUUUAAAAAAAAUCCCAAUAUUUGCAUUCAUUAUUUAAUUAUUAUUUUCGUUUUUAUUAUUAUUCUUUUUAUUUAUUCAUUUAUUUAUUCUUAAAAAUUUCAUCUUUAAACAAUUCUUCAAAAUUCUGAUUUUUAAAUUUAAUUCCAAUUUUCGAAAUUCCAAUUUUUAUAUUAAUUUAUUUAAUCAUUAUCACUUUAUUCAUUUAUUUAUUUGUUUAUUUUUAAAAUUUCAUCUUUAAACAAUUCUUCAAAAUUCCAAUUUUUGAACUUAAUUUCUAAUUUCCAAAAUUCUAAUUUCUUUUAAAUUUAAUUCCCAAAAUUCCAAUUUUCAAAUUUAAUUCCCAAAGCUCCAAUUUUCAAAUAAAUUCCAAAAAUCCAAUUUUCACUUGAACAAUUUUAAUUCUACUUCGAUUCUAAAACCUUAUGUUUUUCUUGGUUUUACAUAAGUAAGAAUAAUGAAUUUUCAUAAUUUCAAAAUAAUGAAAUUUGUGAUAUUAAUUCAUGUAAGAUCAAUCGGGAUUUGGUGGAGGCCCCACAUACAUGAUUUUAUGAUUGAUUGAUUUAUUUAUUGAUUUGUUUGUCACGCGCGAUUGAUUUAUUCCACUCUAUGACAUGCAUGUGAUUAUUCUGUGUUUAAUUGCGAACAUUCGCUUUCAUUGAAGUAAACCGGUUCAUCACUCAGGUAUAUUCUUUGCCUCUCCUAUUCAUUCAAUUAUUUUGUUUUGAGUGAUAUUCCUUCAGUAUCCAUGCUCGAUUAAUUAAUUGUCAUCAUUACUUCAUUCUAUUAGUAGAGACUCGACUUUAGAGACUUAGAGGGGUGCUAUGGUCUUUAUCGUACCUUCUUGAUAAGUAACCUGACCUCCGAACCCGAUCCGGUUUUUCGUAGACCACAUUUUCCAAAUAAGGAGUCACACUUAGGGUUUUUCUUUCUUAUUUUAUUUACCCUUUUAAAAAUAAAACAAAAAUAAGUGGCGAAUUCAAGUCAUUUUUAAAUAAAUAAAAUCAUAAUUUUUCAAAUAAAAAUCGAGCUCACCAUCGAGUGGGGAAACGCAUGAGCCGAAAUGCGGGAUCCACACAAUUCAAAUUAUACUUGGAUUGGAAAAAUCUAAUUUAAUCAUAGUAUUAAAAAUUAUUAUUCAAACUCAUUUAAAUAUUAAAUUAGAUUUAGGUUGCAUCAAUUGUAUGUGUGUCGUGAUUGUAUGAAGAAAUAGUUUUUUAAAAAUAUUUUUUCAAACGAAAUCUCUAAUAUUUCAUAGAAUAAAAAUUUGGUUAACAUCUUAGAAGGUAGGAACCUAUAUUUUAAAAUAUUUUUUUAAAAAUAGUUCUUAUUUAAAUUAUUGAUAUAUUUGUGAUUAAUUUUUAAAAUGAAGCAAUCUCAUGCACAUUAUAUUUAAAUUAUCUUUACAACCACCAAUUAUAUUAUUGAACUAUUUAUUCUAUAAAAAUUGUAAAAUAUUUAAAAUUUUGUAAAAAUAAUAAGAUGUGAAAUAAAAUUUGCCACUUAUUUUAUGAUAUAAGGUUUUAAUACUAAGACCUUGUGAAAAAUAAUCAUUUAUAACUAAAUUAAAUUAAAAUGAGCAUUUAUUAUUAAAAAUCAGAAUUAUAAUCAAUCAAUUAUUAAUUAAAAAUGGUAUUAUUAAUUGCAAUUUAUUAUUAUUAUUUUUAUAUAUAGGAGAUUGGAUUAAAUAUUGAAAGCAUUUUUUGGAAGUGGAAAAAGAUUGUUAAAAUAAUAAUAAAAAAAUUUGAAAAUUUUGGAGAGUGCCAAGAACGUGGGAAUGGUACAAAAAUGUGAGGAAAUUUAUGUGUUUUUAAUUUAAAAUUUUUUUGUGCUUAACUUCCAUCGUUUACGGGGAUGAUUAGUAUACCUAAGCAACAUUGACGCAACAAAUUUAAAAUAAAUUUAAAAAUUAGAGGGUAUGAAUGUAAUCAAUAUUUUAAAACAAUAUCAUAACUAUUUGAAAUUUUGGAGUGGAAUUUAAAAAAAUAAUAAUAAUAUAAGUAUUUAUUGUUAAUUAGUAAUUGAAAAUUGUAUUAUUAAUUUUUUAUUGUAAAUUUGAUUUCUUUUUUUGGGGAAAAAGAUUGGAUGAAAUAUUAAAAGUAGGAAAAAACAAUAUAAUGGCUAAUUGAAGUUGAAAAAGAAAUUGUAUGAUUUCAAUUAAUUCUAAGUGUAAUUUGAGCUCUCUCCAAUUUUUUAAUGUAUCAUUUUUAAAAUUGUUUGGAGGAUAUUUUUCAUCAUUCGUAAGGUUCAUUUGUAUGGAUAAACAAUAUCGUUACAUUUCCAAGUCAAAAAAAUCUUAAAAUUGGAAAAUUAUUUUUUAGUGUUUUAAAAUUUUAAUUUUUUUAAUAAUAAUUUUCAUCAUUUGUAAGCUUGAUUAGUAUAGAUAAACAAUAUAUAUUUCAAUUUCAAAUUAAUUUAUUUUUCUUAGAAUUGGAAAAAAAAAUAUAAAAAUCCAAUGGUGUGAAGAAUUUGGAAAAUGGUACAAAGAAUAUGAGAAUCUUCACAUUUUUUGUACCCCUCUCUAAUUUUUUAGUGUUUUAAUUUUUAAAUUUUUUUGAGAAUAUUUUUCAUCAUUUUUUAAGGUUAAUUAGUAUGGAUUGCAUUUUCAAGUGGUUUAUUUUUUUUCUUUUACAUUAUAAAAUUAUGGGGAUUCGAAGAAGAAUGUGAAAAAUGAUACAAAGGAUGUGAUGAUUCUUAUAUUAUUUAUAUAAUUCCUCACAUUUUUUAUACCCUCCACAAUUUUUUAGUAUUUUAAUUUUUAAUUUUUUUAAAUAUAAGUUCCAUCAUUUCUAAAUUUAAUUACUAUUAGUAAACAAUAUUAUUGUAUUUAUAAGUGAAUUUUUUUUUUCAAAAAUUGUAAAAUUUCAAUGGUACAAAAAACGUGAGGAAGCAUAUGAAAAAUAUGAGUAAGGGUACUUACACCCGACACCCAUCGCGCACGCAUUUUGAGGCGUUGGUGCUACUGUUUUUGCACGUAUCCCAAGUCAUACGAUGCUCUAGUCUUGUAAGGUACUAUGAUUUUAUGCAACACAACACCCGACACCAUCGCAUUCGAAGGCAUGGUCUACAAUGUUUGCACGCAUCCCGAGGCAUACUAUUCUACAAUGCCCAUGAGGAAUAUGAUUUUGAGAGAAUUAUGUUUUAGGGAUAGAUGAGCCCCAAAUUACCAAAAGGUCCGUGUAGCUCUUCAAAUUGAGCCUAAGACUCAAUGAAAGUAUGGAAAUUGAGUUAAAGGAUAUUAUCCUUCGGUAUUUCAAAAAAUGCAAUUUGUUGAUUUUGAGAAAAAAAUUAAUAUUUUUGAAAAAUACUUUUAUUUAAUUUAAUAUUUUUUAAAAAUAUUUUUGAUUUAAUUUAAUAUUUUAAAAACAUACUUUUAUGUAAUUUAAUAAUUUUUAAAAAUAUUUUUAUUUAAUUUAAUAUUUUUUAAAAAUAGUUUUAUUUAAUUUAAUAUUUUUGAAAAAAAAUUAUUUAAUUUAAUAUUUUUGAAAAAAAAAUUUUAAUUUAAUAUUUUUGAAAACCACUUUUAUUUAAUUUAGUAUUUUUGAAAAAAAAGUUAUUGAAAAAAAAUUAUUUAACUUAAUUUUAUAAAAUAUUUUAUAUUUGUUCUUAAAGGGUAUAUUUGUUCGUUACUAUUUCAUAUCUUUCAAUUCAAUUUGAAGAGUUAUAUGGACCUUUUGUUAAUUUGGGGGUAAUUUACCCCUAAAACAUAAUUCUCCCUAUGAUUUUAUGCAACAUAGUACUCGACACCAUCACGCAGCAUCCCGAGGCACAUGUGCUACAGUGUUUGCGCGCAUUCCGACUGUACGGUCUAUAGUGCUACAAGGUAAUAUGAUUUUAUGCAACACUCCACCUUGACACCAUCAUGCACACAUCUCGAGGCAUGUAUGCUAUAGUGUUUCCACGCAUCCCAAUGUGUAUCAUCGCAUUCUUUAUACCCUCUCAAAUUUUUUAAUGUUUUAAUUUUCUAAUUUUUUUAAAGGUAAUUUACAUCAUUUCUAUUUUUUAAUUCUUUUUUUUAACAAUUCUAUCAAUAAUAACUCAAAAUAAUAUUUUUUAACUAUUUUAUUCUCAUUUCAAGUUAAAAAACAAAUCUAAAAUUUUAAAAUUUUAAAUAAUUUAGGUUGUAAAAAACAUGAGAUUAGUAAAAAAAUAUGAGAAAGGUACAAAAAAUAUAUGAUAAAUACAUAUUUGGUACUUUCAUCACAUUUUUCAUAUCGAUUUUUUGUUUUUAAUUUGUUUAAAUUACAAAUUUAUUUUUGAAAAUAUAAUCAUUAGUAACUCAAAAGAGUAUUAGUAAUUUUAAUUUAAAACAUUAAAUUAAAAAAAAUAAUAUUUGGAGAGUAUAAAAAAAAUAUUAAGACGGUCUAAUUAUCUAAGUUUUUUAUAUGAUUAUAAAAAUAUUGAAUUUUAAUAUAAAUACUCAUUUCAUAUUAAAAUAUUAUCAUAUUUAUUUUUAUUCUGAAUUUAGAUAUUUAAUAAUUUAUAAAAAAUAAAAUUAUGUAGUUAUGAUAUGUGAUAGAAUUUUUUUUUCUUAAUAAAUAUGUUUUACAAAUUUUAUAUCGAUUUUAUUUUUAUUUUUAUACCAUUCCAUUUUUACUUAUCUAUUUUAUUAUAAUUUUAAUUUAAAAUUCUUAAAUUCAAAAAAUAUAAAUUUUGGAGAAUACGGAAAAUAUUAGGAUGAUCUAAUUAUCUAAGCUUUAUAUAUGAUUAUUAAAAUAUUAAAUUUUUAUUUUAAUAUUUUUUAAUAGUUAUAUGGUAAAAAUAGUAAUAAAAUUAAUGAAAUCCAUUUAAUAAGAAAUAUAAGAACAAAUAUUUUUAUUAUUAAUAAUAAUAAUAAUUAGAAAAUAUCUUCAGCCUUGUAUUAUUACCGUGGUCCUACCGUCUACUCAAAACUGAAAAUAUGGUGGCAUUAUUAGCUGGCUUUUCAAUCAUUCUGAUGAAGAAAGUAACAAAAUAGAGAGAGAGAUGAGAAAUGUUGAACUGCUGGUUGCAUUAUUGGCCAGCUGGCUUUGAAUCAUUCUGACGAAGAAAGCGAUAAGACUGAUAGGAAAAUGACCUGAGUUUUGAUAGGGUAGCCUUUUUAAAAAUCAUUAUCACACUAGAUUAGUAUCCUUCCCGAUAUUUUAAAUUUUAGUGCAGUGCGGCCGGUUCUUGGAAAAACGGUUCAAUUACCCCCCUUUAAACAGGUCCUCCUUCCAUUUAAUGGAUUUUUGGCAGAAGCCCAACCCAUAUUGCCACCACCUACUUGUUGCAUUGGCAUUAUUUAUAAGCUUAAUUAAUGUCAAUAAACAAUAUUAUUGUAUUAGCAAGUGAAAAAAAAAAAAUUCAAAAAACUCAAAAAGUUAUAAAAUUUUGUCAAAAAUGGUACAAAAAAUGUGAGUUACUCGCAUUCUUCGUAUCCUUCCCAAUUUUUUAGUGUUUUAAUUUUUAAAUUUUUUAGAAGAUAAUUUUUAUUAUCUCUAAGCUUAAUUAGUAUUAAUUAACAAUAUUAUUGUAUUUUCAAAUGAAAAAAAAAAUCAUUAAAUCAUUAAAUUUCUCACUUUCUUAAUACCUUCCUCAAUUUUUUAAUGUUUUAAUUUUUAAAUUUUUUUGAGGAUAAUUCCCAUCCUUUCUAAGCUUAAUAAAUAUCAAUAAAUAAUAUUAUUGUAUUUUCAAGUGAAAAAAAUUUGAAAAAUUGUAAAAUUUUAAGGGUAUGAAGAAUAUGAAGAAGGGUACGAAGAAUAUAAGGCAUCGUAUUUUUUGUACCAUUUCUCACAUUUUUUUGUACCUUUUACAUUUACUAAGUGUUUUUAAUUUUUAAUUUUUAAAAAAAAUAAUUUUCAUAACUUCUAGCCUUUGAAAAAAUUAUAAAAUUUUGAUAAUACAAAAAAUGUGAGGAAAGGUACUAAAAAUAUUAGGAUUCCUCUUAUUUUUCAUAUAAUUUCUUAUAUUCUUUGUACCCUUUACAAUUAUUUAGUGUUUUAAUUUUUAAUUUUUUUAGAAUAAUUUUCAUCAUUUCUAAGUUUAAUUAACAUCAAUAAGCAAUAUUAUUCUAUUCUAAGUGAAAUUUUUUUUGAAAAAUUAUAAAAUUUUGAGGAUACAAAAAAUAUGAGGAAGGGCACAUCCUUUCCAAUUUUUUAGUAUUUUCAUUUCUAAUUUUUUAAGGAUAAUUUAUACCAUUUCCAUUUUUUUAUUUAUAAUUCCAUCAAGAUUCAAGAAUAACUCAAAAUAAUAAUAUUAAACUAUUUUAUUAUCAUUUUAAAUUAAAAAGUAAAUCUAAAAUUAAGAAGAUGUAAAUAAUUUAAGGUACAAAAAAUGUGAGGUUAAAACAAAAAAUGUGAAACGGAUAUAAAUAUUAAAUAAUGUGAUAAAUACAUGUUUGGUGCCUUCAUCACAUUUUAAUACAUGCUUGGUAUGUUGAUCACAUUUUUCAUAUCAAUUUUUUGAAAUUAAAAAUUUAUUUUUAAAAAUAGUAUCAUUAGCAACUAAAAAGGGUAUUGAUAAUUUAUUUAUUAUAAUUUUAAUUUAAAAAUCUUAAAUUCAAAAAAUAUAAAUUUUGGAGAAUACGAAAAAUAUUAGGAUGAUCUAAUUAUCUAAGCUUUAUAUAUGAUUAUCAAAAUAUUAAAUUUUAAUGCAAAUACUUAUUUUAUAUUAAAAUAUUAUCAUAUUUAUUUUUAUAUCAAAUUUAAAUAUUUAAUAAUUUAUUAAAAAUAAAACAAUACAGUCAAAUAAUUAUUUUUUAAUCCAAUUCUAUUUUUAUUUCAAUAUUUAUCACAUAUUUAUUUUAUUUAAACCCAAAAUUGUGGGGAAAUGGGGAAGAAGAGGAAAAAGGAGAAGAGAGUGGAAGGUCACAACUGGUCCUUCCCGUUAAGUGGAUUUUUUUUUUUUUCAAAUUUAAAAUGGAUGGCCAACAUGUAAUCUUGGACAUCCAAUGGCUUAAAAAAAAUUUGUACAGUACCGAAGGAGGUACCCUAGAAUUGUCCAUCAAAAGUCAGGAACCCACCAUCAAGAAGAGGGUCCAACCGGAUACCUAUUCAAAAGUGUCAUCAGUCUCAUCAUUUAUUUCUCACUGCUUUCCAUCCAUUACUUUCUUUUUUUAUUCAAUUCAUUUGCUUAUUACCCUUUUUGUUUUUCCUUUUUUAUUUUCUUACAUCUUUUCAUCCCAAUAUUUAUACUUUUCAUCAAAUAACUUAAAUUUAUAUAUAUAUAUAUAUAUAUAUAUUUUUUUUUUUAAUUAAUAUAAUUUUAUUAUGCUAUUAAUAUUUAAAAUUAUUCAUGUUAUUAUUCAUAUCAUUUUUAUUAAUAUUAUCUAUCAUUUUUAUAAUUAUUAUUCACCUUAUUAUUCAUAUCAUUUUCAUGAAAUUAAACUAGGAAAGGAAAGGAGCCGAGCAUUCGUUCCAAACGGAGAGAUGAAAAGUAGAAUGAUCUCUAGUGAAUAUGAGUAACGCUAGGAAAAAUGACAAAGGAGAUGAGAAAGCUCAAGUAGAACGAGGAAAGUCAAUGGUUUUUGCAAGCAAAAAUCAGCAGCAGAGGUCAUCAAGAAAAGAGUAACGAAAUUGAGAUAUAAGUAACACACUAACACCAAGCAGAUUCCUGCCGUAGGGCUGAAUGUGAAGGGGGUAUGUUGGGACGUCAUUUGUUUGUUUGGCCCUGGUCAGCCGUACCACCGAGCUGUGCCAGACGGGGGCAUCACAGCCGGAAUGGGCCGGACCGGAGUGGCCUUCCCAGGAUUCGAACUCAAGUCCUAGCCUUAAGGACGUUGAGGUUGCUCUUCUGGUACCAUAUCCCAUUUCGGGUGUGAUUCCCCCGUNNNNNNNNNNNNNNNNNNNNNNNNNNNNNNNNNNNNNNNNNNNNNNNNNNNNNNNNNNNNNNNNNNNNNNNNNNNNNNNNNNNNNNNNNNNNNNNNNNNNCCAUUAACACUUUCCUCUUGGUUUGGUGUUAUAGCUGUUUUUUACAAGGUCCUGUUGGGACGUCAUUUGUUUGUUUGGCCCUGGUCAGCCGUACCACCGAGCUGUGCCAGACGGGGGCAUCACAGCCGGAAUGGGCCGGACCGGAGUGGCCUUCCCAGGAUUCGAACUCAAGUCCAAGCCUUAAGGACGUUGAGGUUGCCCUUCUGGUACCAUAGCCCAUUCCGGCUGUGAUGCCCCCGUCUGGCACAGCUCGGUGGUACGGCUGACCAGGGCCAAACAAACAAAUGACGUCCCAACAGGACCUUGGAAAAAACAGCUAUAACACCAAACCAAGAGGAAAGUGUUAAUGGCUUGAGGUAUAGAAAGUGUACGGGUGCAUUGGUCAGUGAGAGAAGCACGCUCACUGUUUGCAAUAAAGCGUGAGGCAGGUGAUGCGAAGAUGUAAUAAUAAAGUUAAUAAAGUUUUCAGUAAUUCUUGUGGUAUUUUAUCAUGAAUGCUGAAUGUGAAGGGCAGAGAGUCGGUAUGACAUGACUAAGCAAAAACCACCUAUAAAUUAUCAUACAAAACCAAGCAGAAAGUGUUAUGGCUUUAGGCGUAGAGAGGGUAAGAAUGCAUAACUGUUGGGAUGUGGAUAGCCAAGUCAUGACCAUUAAUCCGAGUUUCUGGCCGAAGUAGUAUUUCUUUGUAAAAAAAAACCCAAAGUAAUCCGGUUUUCAAACUAUUUGCCAAAAUACUCUUUUUAAUCCACAUAAGCAAUCCACGUCAACAACCAUCUUCGUCAAACCUGUUUUUUUCCUUUGGAGACCCAAUUCCAGAAAGUAUUCUCCACCAUCUGCAGCUCCAUUUUCUCUCCUCACCGGCUGCGGCUCCCACCAGUGGCUCCCACCAGCAACUCCACCAGCAGCUAGGUAAAUUUUUUUCGGGUUCAUGAGUUUUUUCCCACUCAUUUUCCUUAGCUUUCUUACCAACCAAACAGAGGAAAACAAGUUGUUUUGAAAAUUUUAAAAAUCUCAAGUUGUUUUCAAUUUCAUAGCUAUCCAAAAAACUUGAAAAACCCUUUCCUCCACCUUAUAUUCCUCUUAUCCUGGAACCCGAAAAACCCUAACCUUUGCCUCAUUUUCCUCUCAUCUCAGAAUCCUGAUAGUUGUCGAUCUGCCCAUGAUUCAUCUUCAUCGUGAUCCAAAAUAUGGAUUUCGGAUUGGAUGAAGGUGGGGGAGCGAGAAAGACUUGGAGAGGUUAAGGUUUAUACCUUAGCCACAGAUCCAUUCAGGGGAAGUUCGUUAUUGUUGUCUAUUUUACCAGAAUUAUUGCUCAAAUUAAAAUUACAGUGAUCAAGAUCUGAUAAUAGGUUGCUGUCCAACGGGUCUUCAGAAACAUAAUGACAUGUCUCAUGGUUGUCAAUAGAAAGACCAUUUUCUGGGUCAACCAUGAAGUGGCUAUCACUUGUAUCUGAGCCCAACAAACUGUGUUCACCCACAUUUUGUCCAGAAGCAUCUCCUGAUAUAAUAAAGUUAGCAAGAGUCUUUUGUGUCGGAUUAGAUAGAUGACCGUCUUUGUCCUCAUUGAAAUGAGACAUGCGCAGGCCUACAAAAGACAGCAGAAUUGGGGUUUCGAAAGGGAGAAAAAAAAAUUCUUUUUUCUAUAAAAAUGGAGUUAAUAUGUUGGAAAUUAACAUAGUUACAAUGCAUCAAGUGGCUAUUAAUUUUAGAAAAGAAUAUGUUUUAGUGAGUUCCUCAAAAUUGAGACAAAUGGUCUAUUGCUAUCUGGCUUUGAUUAUACUUGGAAUAAUGAUGAUGUAUUACAGGACAGGGCCAUCCCUGAUGAAUUUGUGACUACAAUAUCAUUUGGUUUAUUAUUUUCUGUUAUCCCUGCACAUGAAGUGUAAAAUUUUCUUUUUAGCCAAUUCCAAUCACAAAUUGGAUGAUGAUAACUGUUGAUGAUGUUUUUUCCUUUUAACUUUUCUUGGAUAAGUAUGUGAAAGAUGUUAUUAUGCCUUGGUUAUUAAAAUGAGAGUUUACUGACUGAAAGUUGAAGGGUUUGAAAUUAAAUAUGGCCUUUAGCAGGGUGCUUAGGGGAAACCUAUGAAAUCCCAAUAUGGAAUGGAAAUACACUCCUGCUUAAUGUAGAGCUUAAUGUAUUGAUCUUUGCUUUACACUGAUCAAAGCACGCUCUUCACAUUAGUGCUAAUUUUUCAUAUUUUUUGUGGCAUAUUUUACAUGUUCAACUUUCUCAACCAUUACUACUGGUAAAAUUUCAAUAGCCUUACAAUUACUCGCUCCCGGAUAGAAGCUUCAAUUCCUCACAAACAUGGGCCUGCUAUUGCUGGUUAUGAGGCAGUAGCUUGCUUGAUCUUAUCCAUAAACUAUUUCUAAAAGUACCUUAGUGGCUGUAAGCAUGUUUGUUAGAAAACUUACAAUACAAUGAUAUAAUUCAUUUUCCUGAUGUAAAUCUUAUUUAUUGCUUGGCUGUAUCUCAUCUGAAGUGUAUUUUAUGGUACAAAUAUAAUGCACAAUACAAUGAUACACGUACAACAAUACAUAUAAACAACAAAUAUUAAUAUUUGCCUAGUGAGAAUCUGGAACUAAAAUUUAUAGCCAAAAAUUCAAAAAGCUUUGUUUUGUGGAUUUUGUAAGACACCUAUGCAUUAAAGUAAAAAAUUGGGGAAAAUGACUCAUUAUUUUUUGUAAGAAUCUGCUUCUUCCAGGUUUAAUACAUAUUUAUGGGAAUCUUCUUGACAUAAGACAUAUGGAAGCAACUUCAAAAAGUUACAGAAAAAGAAAAGUGAAAGCCUCUACACUUCCUAAUAAAUAUUUUAUCUUCUUAUUUAUUAUAAUUACUAGAUUUAUCGAGAAACCAUCAUUACAAAUGCUUAAGUUUUUCAAAUUAUUUUUAAAUUUGUUUUCAUAAUUUAUUAACUUUAUAAAAUUGGAAGUGAUUAUUAAAUUUAUUUUUGUUUCUUUUUCUCCUCUAAAAAAAUAUAUACUUUUUAUUAUAUAUAUAUAUAUAUAUAUAUAUUUUAAAAAUUUAUUAGGAUGAAGGAGAUUUGAGUGUGUCAUUUUUCAAUCAUCAUUUUUAUAAAGAUAAUACUAUUGCGCAUCUAACAAUCUCUUCCCCAUUAUAGGGCUCCUAGAACUCGAAUCAUGACCAAACUCUAGGGCUCCUAGAACUCGGAUCAUUUAAUGACAUGUGGAACAUUUAAUAGCACUUAUACAAAUGCUAACAACUUUAUAAAACUGUAAAAAGACAUGUAGAACCUAGGCUGGAUCUCCAAACCAUGAAAAUUGCUUGUAAUUAUUGGUUAGCUUUUGAAUUGUAUCAUAUAUUAGAAAAUGUAUCAAAUUCUCAAUUAUUAUAAAUUCCUUUUGGUAAAGAAUAUUGUAUAAAGUAUUUUCUAAGUUAAUUUAUUAUUGUGAUAUCAUAUUUCCUCAUAGAAUAAGGAAAGUUAUUUAGAAUAUUUUUAUAAAUAUUUUAGGCCAUAGAGGGAAAAAUCUAUAAGAUCGAGAUAGACUCCUAAAGAUUAUAAAAUAUUUGAAGAACUCAAUAGUUAUAAAUAAUAAAAAAACACUAAAACCAAAUUUAAUAUAUAGAAAAUAUUAGUUUUUACUUCAAAUUUAACUUAUUAAAUUAUAAAUUGUAGAAAUUUAAUUAAAUUAAUUUUUUUUUAAAAUUAACUAGACAUAAGCAAAAGUGUAUUAACUAUUCCGCUUUCUCUUUUUCAAUUAUUUAAAUGGAAAAUAUUAAAACAUUUAUAGUCGUAACUAUUAAUUAUGUUGAAUAUGUACACAUUACAUCCAUUCUUGAACAAAUUUAAAAAAAUUUCCUACUUAAUUUGGGUAGCUUAAACAAAGACAUUUUAAUUGUUAAUGGAAAAAUAAAAACCUUUUAUUCAAUUUUAAUGGUAAUAAAUAAUAAGAAAAUAUUAUUAAUAAAAAACAUUGAAUUAUUUGGAUAUUAAGGUGUUAUUUGUUAUUUGAUAUUGUUAAUAACAUACCCUAUUAUUGUUAUUUGUUAUUUCAUUACAAAUUGAUGUUAUUAGUAAUGUUUUAUAUUGUGUAAUUUUGUGGUUAAAAAUGAAAUUGAUUUGAUUUUUUUGGCUUCUUCUAUAGGUAAACUAUGUCUAAUUUAUCGGUGGCAAUAGUUUGUUUUUGUAAUGGGAAAAUGGUGAGAACACAGACCGAUGUUGAUUAUGUUGGGGAUAGAGUUGUGGUUGAACCUAUUGAUGUGCCUCUUGGGACAACAUAUGAACAACUGUUGGAAAUGAUAUACUCGGUCACUGACAUCAAUAAAGAACAUUUUCGAUUAAUACUUAGUUGUAAGUAUCCUAUGAAAAAAGGGAACAAAUUCCAACCUUGCCCAGUAAAGAAUGAUAGUGGUGUAGCUCGAAUGUUAGAAAUGCAUAACAGAUUUGGGAUGGAUGAAGUUGAGUUAUUUGUUGAACAAGUACCUAUUGACUUACAAAUGAAUUCACCACUUGGUAAUUGCAUGCCUUUGUUACUUGGUGAAAAUGAUGGUACUAGUAAGUUCAAAAUCCAUUUACUUUUGAGCAUAGAUCAGAAGAGGAUGAGGAAGACGAAGAAGGAACACAAUGUGAUGAUGACAGUGUAAGAGCUGAGGAUGUUCAUAAUGAUGAUAAUCAAGAUAGGGAAGGUAGCUCGCCUUUUUUAUCUGUUCGUGAGGCAAUUGAAAGAGAACAAAUGAGAUAUGUGGCUGUGGAUGGGGAAGGAUGUAACUUGUCAAACAAUCCAGAUACAGAGGAUUUAGAUGACCCAAUUGAAUUAUCUCCAAUGCAAUAUCAUUUGGCACCAUCACCACAGUUUGAAAAUGUUGAAAACAUUGGUCAUGUUGUGUCAAGUGAAUGGACCCCAUGGGGAAACACUCUUAUGGGACAUCCAACUGGAGAGUUCAUAGUUGGACAAAUCUUUAAUUCCAAAGGAGAUUUGCAACAUGCUGUAAAGAUGUACUCUAUUAAUUCGCACCAAGAGUAUAUCGUUUUGUCAUCCACAAAGAAAUUGUUGGUCCUAAGAUGCAAGAAAGCUGAACAGUCUCAAUGUCCUUGGAGACUACGUGCUACAGUUGUUAAAGGGACAUCUUUAUUUGAGAUCAACAAAUAUAGUGGCCCACACACAUGUGUCAAUCCUUGCAUGAACCAAGAUCAUCAUCAGUUAGACUCAAACCUGAUAGCCGCCCAUAUAGAGGGAAUGAUUAAGACACAAUUCACACUUUCAGUGGCUGCCAUUCAAGCAAGUGUUGUAGAAAGAUUCGGGUACCAUAUCUCAUACACUAAGGCUUCGAAAGGCAAGCGUAAAGCAUUAACUAAUUUGUUUGGUGAUUUCUAUAAAUCAUACGCUAAACUGCCACAUUUUUUUGGUGCCUUAGAGCAAGCCAAUCCAGGAUGUGUUGUAAUUUCUAAAACAUUCCCAGGAAAUAUGCGAAAUGAAGAGGUAUUUCAGCGAGUCUUUUGGGCAUUUCAUCCUUCCAUAGAGGGCUUCAAGCAUUGUCGUCCUGUGUUAACUAUUGAUGGUACACACUUGUAUGGGAAGUAUAAGGGCACUGUAAUGAUUGCCAUGGGCUGUGAUGGAAAUAAUCAAUUGUUUCCUUUUGCUUUUGCAUUAACUGAGGGUGAAAAUGUUGAUAGUUGGGGAUGGUUUUUGGCAUGUAUUAGAAAUCGAGUAACUCAAAGGAGGGGUCUUUGUGUUAUCUUUGAUCGUCAUCCGAGCAUUAUGGUUGUGUUUGCUGAUGUUUACCUUGGUUGGUCUGAGCCAAAUGCAUAUCAUCGAAUUUGUAUGCGCCAUCUUGCUAGCAACUUUAUGACUCACUUUAAGGACAAAUGCUUGAAACAACUUUUAUGCAGAGCCGCCUUAGAAACUAAGGUAGAAAAAUUCAACAUGCAUAUGGAGACAUUGGGAGAAUCGAUCAAAACGCACUCAGUUGGUUGGAGGGUAUUCACUUUGAGAAAUGGGCACUAUCACAUGAUGGAGGUCGACGAUAUGGCAUAAUGACUACAAACAUGUCAGAAGUGUUCAAUAGUGUGCUUAAAGGGGCACGGAGUUUCCCUAUCACCGCAUUUGUUCAAUUGACAUUCUAUCGACUUAAUAGUUACUUUGUUGUAAGAAGAGAACAUGAUGCUAGUCGACUUGCUUCAAGUGAACAAUACACUCCUUAUGUUGAUGCUAAGAUUAAUGCAAAUGUUGUUAAGGCAGGUUCUCAUGAGGUUGUUUUGUAUGAUCACUUCCAAGGACUGUUUCAUGUGAAGGCUAGUAGGGGUAGCAAAAAGACAUCAUCUGGUGGAAGAACACAUCGUGUUAACCUACGUGAGCAUGUAUGCACAUGUGGCAAAACACUCAUAUAUGGAUUCCCAUGUAGUCAUAUUCUAGCGGCAUGUCAUUUUCGUUCAAUUGAUUUUAGAUCAUUUGUUCAACAUUAUUACACUAUACAAUCGUACUUUAGCACUUGGGCACCACUGUUUAACCCCAUACACAAUGAGUACGAGUGGCCACCAUAUGUUGGUCCAGUUAUUGUGCCUGCAGAUUCAAUGAAACGUGUGUCAGGUGGACGACUUAAAUCUACUCGUUUGCACAAUGAAAUGGAUGUUAGAGAAGGUAAAACCUCAGUUACAUGUGGUUUGUGCAAACAAAGUGGUCACAAUCGUCGUUCUUGUCCAAAUAAGAACAUGGGUGCUGGGCCUUCAUGAUGGGUGCUAGGCUUUGGAUGUUGAUAUUAUGUUAUUUGUAUUUUGGACAAUACUUAUGUUAUAAGAGAGACUUUGCUGUUAAUUUCAAAAUUGUAAUAUGAAUAUUUUGAUGAAUCAGGUUGUUUGUAUUUUGGAGAAUACCCUAUUUAUAAGGGAGACUCUAUCGAAAUUUUUAAUAUUUGGAUGCGAACAUCAUAUUAUUACAUUUUUCUUUUCAUUAUUGUCCUUGGAUAUUGAUAUUGGUUGUAGAUGAAUAUUUUGAUUAAUCAGGUUUUUUUUUUGUAUUUUGGAGAAUACCCUAUUUAUAGGGGAUACUCUGCCGAAAUUUUUAAUAUUUGGAUGUGAACUUUAGUGUUUGAUAAUUUUUUUUAAAUUAUUGUACUUGGAUAUUGAUAUUGGUUGCAAAUAAAUAUUUUGAUUAAUCAGGUUAUUUGUAUUUUGGAGAAUACCCUAUUUAUAGGGGAUAUUCUGCCGAAAUUUUUAAUAUUUGGAUGUGAACUUUAGUGUUUGAUAAUUUUUUUUAAAUUAUUGUACUUGGAUAUUGAUAUUGGUUGCAAAUAAAUAUUUUGAUUAAUCAGGUUAUUUGUAUUUUGGAGAAUACCCUAUUUAUAGGAGAUACUCUGCCGAAAUUUUUAAUAUUUGGAUGUGAACUUUAGUGUUUGAUAAUUUUUUUAAAAUUAUUGUCCUUGGAUAUUGAUAUUGGUUGCAAAUAAAUAUUUUGAUUAAUUAGGUUAUUUGUAUUUUGGAGAAUGCCCUAUUUAUAGGGGAUACUCUGCCGAAAUUUUUAAAAUUUGGAUGUGAACAUUAGUGUUUGACAAUUUUUUUUUAAAUUAUUGUACUUGUUGGAUAUUGAUAUUGGUUGCAAAUAAAUAUUUUAAAUUAUAAUAGUAACAUUAUUUUAUUAUGACAGUAUAGUAAUGGAGCAUAGAGAGGGCAGAUUCGAUCCAGAUCCAUUAGAUUGCUCUAUUUUAGCGCUACAGGACAGACAUAGGUCUCAAUUAGUGGAUUCUGGUCAGGUAUAUAUGUAUAUAUAAAUAUAGAUGUAUAGAAAAACAUAAUCAUAAACCUUAAUUAAGUUCUUAUUUAAUCGAAAUGGUAUCUUUUGUAGCUUAAUCAGGUAUUGACAUGUCGACAACGUUUAUGGACAUUCAUGCGAGAGUGGGAGAUGGACCCUCGUAUUCGGCGAUAUGUGAUGCAGUCUGGAUUUUAUGGUGUAUAUCGUGUCGGACACAUUUCACUAGAUUGGCCAUUGAUCACGAGUCUUGUUGAGCGAUGGCGGCCCGAGACACACACAUUUCAUUUACCUAUUGGAGAGAUGACUGUUACUUUACAGGAUGUAGCCAUGAUUCUUGGAUUACGUAUUCAUGGGCCUCAUAUCACUGACACAUGUGACAUAGAUUGGUCACUACUAUGUUUUGAGCUUUUAGGUGUCGUCCCACCUCCAUCUCAGAUUAGAGGGUGAUCUAUAUCAGCACGAUGGUUGCGUGAGCAGUUCUCAUAUCCACCAGCAGGGGUCGAUGAUGUUAUUUUACAGCGUUAUGCGCGUGCUUUCAUAUUAGCACUAUUGGGUGGAGCAUGGUUCGCAGACAAGACUGGCACACAUGUACAGUUAUGUUACCUUCCACUGUUGAGAGACUUCACUGAGAUUUCUCACUAUAGUUGGGGCAGUGCAGUGUUGGCAUACCUAUAUGGAGAGCUAUGUCGUGCGAGUUUAGAUAGUGCCACAGAGAUUUCUGGACCUAUCACACUAUUACAGGUAUUUCGACAUAACUAUCUAUUAUAAUUAAUUGACUCACAUUAUUGUUGUAAGUUGUCUAAUUUUGAUAAUGUUAUCUGAUUUUGUAGUUGUGGUCAUGGGAGAGACUUCAUGUGGGUCGACCUGAUUUCGAUCGUCCUCCAAUGCCUAUAGUAGUCCCACAUGUACAUGAUGAUGUAGUUGAUGGUUUACAUGAUCAUCUAUUGCCAGAUGAGCCACUCCCAAUCCAUCCAUUGGGCCAUAGGUGGAGAGUACCCCUGUCUUGGUCUCAUAACCCAUCACCACAUGUGUUGACAUUCUAUCGAGAUCAAUAGGAUGCCCAGACACAGGAUCAGGUAAAAUGUAGAUGCGUAAGAUUACCUUUGCAAUAUUUUCCACCAAUGUGACUAAUUAUUUUUUAAAAAAAUUACAGGUAUUAUGGGAACCAUAUACAGCAGAUUUGAUUGCACAUCUUCCGGCUAUAUGUCAGGUUGACGAAGAAAUUUGGCGAACUAUGUCACCUCUAAUUUGCUUUGAUAUUAUCGAGUGGCAUAGACCAGAGUGAGUUUUACGCCAAUUUCAUAUGCAACAAGGGAUACCUCCACCUUGUUUGAUAGAUAUGGAGCUACAUUUAGUGGAUAGGCGAGGACGACAUCAAUACGAUUGGGUCACAUUCCAUGCUCAAUAUAUUUCUCUUUGGGCUACUCAUUCUAAGCGUAUUGCGACAGCACCACUUGUGAUUACUACCAUGUCUUUUUAUGAUCCAUAUAUGCAGUGGUAUCGACGUAUCACGCGAUGCCUGAUCGCACCUGUUUUGCAUAGAGAUCAUAUGAGGUUCCAUAGUACAGCUUCUGCCACUGAGUUAUUGGUGAGAGCAUUUGAGAUACAAAACCAUUUUUUAAUGAAUGUUAAACUUAAAUUAUGUGCAAAUGCCUCAUGUUUUAUUUUCUUAUACAGAUCACCGCCGUAUCGCAGAUGGCUAUUUCAAAUGAUUUGGAGGAAACUCACCGAAUUGCUAUUGAUGUUUUACGUGCUAUAGGAGAGGACCAUCGCGUACACUCGACACAUGAGCCAUCCACAUCUUCAGGAUCAUCCAUGAGACCACCAUCAUUGAUUACGCCUGUUAGGGUACCACCCAUUAGAGGUCGGGGGAGAGGUGGUCGUCGAGCUGGUCACCGACAUGUACCUUUGGCAUCUACUUUGGUACAACCCUCACAUCCACCAGUCACAUCUACCUUUCCUUUAUUUCAGCCAUCUACAUCAUUAGAGUUGCCACUUUCUCCCCCUGAUGUAUCCAUACCAGCCUAUUCACCUCGACCCGAGACUACCAUACCAUCUACCCUUACCCCUGUUCAGCCAUCUAUAUCAUUGGAUGCACCCCCACCUAUUGCAGAGUCUUUUGCACCCCCACCUAUUAUAGAGUCUAUUGCACCUCCACCUGUUACAGAGUCCGUUGCACCUCUACCUUUUCUUCAAGGGACAGCUCAUGCUGCACGAUUACAUGUACGGGUACCUAGAGGACAUCGAGCUCCACGUGUACGUCGAGUUCUACCUCCAUCAGUUCCAUCUAUCUCGACAACUCAUGUAGAUGACGUGUCAUAGUCUAUAGAGAUGGAGACUUUUCAGAUAGCAUAGAUGGAUACAACAAAUAUGGCCAUCUACCGUAGAUGUUCACAACGAAAGAGAAAGAUUCCAUCAUGUGGGACACAUUGAGAUCUUUUUUCAUGUUUGUAGAACUAUUAUACUUUGGUUUAUACAUUUAAGGUUAUAUAAAGUGUUAAUUCAAAUUAGUGAUGUUAUGUUAUUCACAUGUUUCCUUGAUAAUUUAAACAAAUAAAACUCAAAUGCAUCCUAAAGUCUAAAUGAAAGAAAUUCUAACUAAAUAAAUUAUUACAACCAUUACCUAUUUUUCUUUCAUAUAAUUAAAAAAUUAUACAUUUUAACCAAGACUUAAGUUCAAAUCAUACUUAAUAAUAAAUAACCUAAAAUCAUAAUCAUUGGCAUUAAUUUUCAUAUGAAAAUAUAAAAUUUUAAAAUAAUAUAAACAAUUUCUUUAGUUAUUUUAAAAUUUUAAAAUAAUAUGAAUAAAUAAUUUUCUUUAGUUCAUAUGUGAAAAUAUUUGUAAAACAAAUAAAUAUUUUAUUUACUAUAAAUAUAUAAAUUUUUAUGGGAGUGCAAGUAGACCAAAUUAUUUUCUCAAAUUUCCAAGGAAAAUAUGAAAAAAUAAAGAUAAUAUAUAUAUAUAUAUAUAUUUAAAACAGUCGUAACAAAAAAAUUUAUGAAAAGCAAAGUUCUAAAAUCCCAUACUUUUUUAUACAUGAGUUCCCCUUAAAAAUAUUUGUGAAAAUUACAACAUAAUUGUAAUUUUGAUAAAAAAAAAUAUUUUAAAAAUAAUAUUAAAAUUACAACACCAUUAAAAUAUUGAAAAUAAUUGUAAAACCACAAUUACUAACUGUGGUUUUAUGGUUGUUUUGAUAAAAAAUAUUUUUAAAAUAAUAUUAAAAUUACAAUACUAUUAAAACAAGUGUGAAUUAAAAAUAAUUGUAAAACCAUAUUUGCUAACUAUGGUUUUAAGGGAAAUUGUAAAACCACAGUUUGUAACUGUGGUUUUAAGGAUACUUCUUUUAAAACCAUAGUUAUAGUAACUAUGGUUUUAUGGGUAUUUUGAUAAAAAAAAUAUUUUAAAAAUAAUGUUAAAAUUACAACACCAUUAAAAUAGAUGUGGAUUGAAAAUAAUUGUAAAACCACAGUUAGUAACUGGGGUUUUAUGGUUGUUUUAAUAAAAAAUAUGUUUAAAAUAAUAUUAAAAUUACAAUACUAUUAAAACAGGUGUGGAUUAAAAAUAAUUAUAAAACCACAGUUACUAACUGUAGUUUUAAGAGAAAUUGUAAAACCACAGUUACAAACUGUGGUUUUAAGGAUACUUCUUUUAAAACCAUAGUUAUAGUAACUAUGGUUUUAUGGGAAUUUUGAUAAAAAAUAUAUUUUAAAAAUAAUAUUAAAAUUACAACACCAUUAAAAUAGAUGCGGAUUGAAAAUAAUUGUAAAACCACAGUUACUAACUGUGGUUUUAUGGUUAUUUUGAUAAAAAUUAUUUUAAAAAUAAUAUUAAAAUUACAACACCAUUAGUAAAACCACAAUUAGUAACUGUGGUUUUAUUGUUGUUUUGAUAAAAAAAUAUUUUAAAAAUAAUAUUAAAAUUAUAACACCGUUAAAAUGGGGAUGGAAUAAAAAUAAUUGUAAAACCACAGUUAUUAACUGUGGUUUUAAGGGAAAUUGUAAAACCACAGUUUAUAACUGUGGUUUUAAGGAAACUUCUUUUAAAACCGUAGUUAGUAACUAUGGUUCUAGGAGAAAUUAUAAAACCACAGUUUGUAACUGUGGUUUUAAGAAAAUUUAUGUAAGUUUUAAAACCACAGUCACCAACGGUGAUUUUUUACACUUAAAAUCCAUAUGGAUGCUUACUUGGACAAAGAAAACUACUUUGACAAAUAUUUUCAAAUGGAUACUAUUCUUAUUAUUUUUUUUUACAAAUAUAUUAUUUUGUUCUUAAACUCCAUUAAUCCUGUUGUCAGAAUCCCAUCCCGUGUUAGACUGCAAAAGUCUAAUAAUAAAGGUCUUGAUAAGGAGAAAUCACAAGAGCAUUUAUUACAUCAAUAAUUAUUAGCAAUCAUCUGGAGCCCACGAUCAAGAAGAGGAUCCAGCUGGAAACCUAUUCAAAAAUGUCAUCAAUCCCAGUAUUUAUUUCUUACUUUAUUUUUUUAUUCCAUUCAUUUGCUUAUCACUUUUUUUGUUUUUCCCUUUUUAUCUCGUUACAUCUUUAUCCCGAUAUUUAUACUUUCAUUAAAUAACUUAAAUUUUUUUUAUAUAUUUUAAUGAUGAAAUUUAAAAUCUUUACUUUCAUAUAUUUUUCCUUUUAUACUUUUUGUUACCCAUUAUUAUUAUUAAAUAUUAAUAUUACUAUUAAUAUAAUUAUUUAUAAUAUUAAUAUUUUAAAUUAUUCAUAUUAUUAUUAAUAUCAUUCUUAUUAAUAUUAUCUAUUAUUUUUAUGAUCAUUAUUCACCUUAUUAGUCAUAUUUUUAAUAUUAUAAUAAUAAUAAUUUUAUUAUAUUUAUAUUAUUAUUAUUAAAAAAACCCUAAAAGAUAUUUUCUAAUUUUUUUUAAUUCUUAUGGUUCAUAAGCUUUAUUAAAAAAAUUAUUCUGUGCUUUUUAACCUUUUAACUUCAUAUGCUACAUUAAAAUUAAUUAUAUUAUUAUUAUUACUUUACAAAUAUUAUUUUUAUGAUGUUAAUUUUAUAUUUUAUUAUUAAUAUUAUUAAUAAAACUAAUAUUAUAUCCAAGUUAUAGGUGUGAAAAUAUGGUGGCAUUAUUAGCUGGCUUUUCAGUCAUUCCGAUGAAGAAAGUAAUAAAAUAGAGAGAGAUGAGAAAUGUUGAACUGUCGGUUGCAUUAUUGGCCAGCUGGCUUUGAAUCAUUCUGACGAAGAAAGUGAUAAGAGUGAUAUGAAUAUGACCUUUUUCAUUCGGAUGAAGAAAGUAACAAAAUAGAGAGAGAUGAGAAAAGUUGAACUGUUGGUUGCAUUAUUGGCGUGCUGGCUUUGAAUCGUUCUGACGAAGAAAGCGAUAAGAGAUAGAAAGACGAGUGAUAGGGAAAUGACGAGUUUUAGAUGGGGAAGCCUUUUUCAAAAUCAUUAUCACACUAGAUUAGUAUCCUUCCCCAUAUUUUAAAUUCUAGGGCAGUGCGGCCGGUUCUUGGAAAAACGGUUCAAUUACCCCUCCUCUAAACAGGUCCUCCUUCCAUUUAAUGGAUUUUUGGCGGAAGCCCAACCCAUAUUGCCACCACCUAUUUGUUGGUUUUUAGGCAAAAAGCCUGUCCAAACAAGCCCGCCUUACAUUGCCACAUGCUGGGCUCAACCUUAAACCCACAAGGCUUGGACAUGUCAACACCUUGGCUGAGUUCUCCAUAUCCUUCUUACCAUCUGUUGUGGGAUUGAUGGACCUCAAGUUGAGGAGAUGACAUGGGCACCACUCUGAUGCUUAUUAUAUCAAACAAAAGAAAAUAUAUUAUUUUCUAAAAUAAUUUAUAAUAACAAUAUAAUAUUUUUAAAAAUAUAAAAUUAUCCCUAUGCCAACUUGACAGUCAAACUAAAGCAUUUACACACUUUACUAAAAACAUAAAAGGGUUUUUCUUGUUUGUUUAGUAAUGUCAAGCUUUGGCAUUGUUAUUGAAUGAAGAAUUUUCAUCUCUAUUAUUGAUUUUUUUAUUUAAAACUAAAGCAUUUCAAAUUUAUUAUUAAAAAAAGGUUUCAAAUUUAUUUAAAAUAAAAAUUAAAAAUUUUAUCUUUAUUUUAUUUAAAAGAAAUUUUCAAUUUUAUUUUAAGAGAAAAGACUUCUUAGUUUUAUUAAAAAAAUUUAAAAUUUUAUUAUUAUUUAAGAAAAAUAUUUUUUUUUCUUUCUUUUUUUUUUUUUGUCUUAAAAGAUGAUUUUGUUAAAAAAAAAAAAAGGAAAAUUUUUUUUUAUUUAAUUUAAUUCAAAAGUUAUACAAUGUUAUUUUAAAGAAAGAUUUGACAAUUUUAUUGAAAAGGAUUUUGUAGUUUUAUUUAGAAAAAACAUUUUUGAUAGUCUUUUCUUAAAAAGACAUUUUCCUACACAGUUUAUUAUUAAACAAAAUUUUUUUGGACAGUUUACAUUUAAAAGACAUUUUUGGAUAGUUUAUUUAAAGACUAUUUUGGAAAAUUUUAUUUAAAAAUCAUUUUUGAUAUUUUUUAAAUUUAAAGUCAUUUUGACAGUUUUGAUUAAAAAAAAAUAUUUUGACAACUUUAUUUUAAAAAAAAAUAUUUACACAAUUUUUAUUCAAAAAACACUUUAGGUAGUUUUUUUUUUAAAAAAAAAUUAUUUUUAAAAAUGACCUGACAGUUUUUAUUUUAUCCUAAAAAAAGUUUCAAUGUUAUUUUAUUUAUAAAUAAAUAUACAAAACAGAAUACGGGAAAAAACCCAAAUAGGUAAUGCUAUUGCUAUAUAUAUCUACCCCUUCACUCGUCUUUGCAUCACUCACCCCACACACAUUCUCUUUCUCCUUUCACAUUUUCAGUUAAGUGAGUCUCAUACUCAACUUCUUACAUUCCUUUCUAGGUUAUUCUCUUGAUCAAAUAAUGUAGUAUUGUGUUGUUUUGCUUUAAAGGCAUGUCAUCAUCCGAUAAGUGAGAAGCAAUUGAAGGAGAUGGGAGAAACCUGAUCUCAGCCGGUUCCAUCCCAAAUGCCGCAGCAAUCUAGGCAGCAAUUGUUAGGAAUGGGGUCAUUUCUUAUGGUAUCAAGAUGGAAAUAUUCAUAGAUCUUCCUAUUGUUGGAAAGAUGAGUAUACCCAUUGAGGCAACUGGAAUGGUACCCGUACGCUUACCUUUUAUGAAUAUGAAUGCUGAUAUUGGUGUUGAUGGUAAAGAGGAGGAGAUAUACAAUUAGCAUGUACUAAAAAAAUUGGUGGGUUUAAACAUGUCUUUUUUUUUUUCCCCCCAAUUGACUGAGCCUCAAAAUUCCCACUUAUAUUUACAAAUCCCCAUUUAAUAAUUUGUAUGUGAUUCAUCACCACUUUGAUCACUACCUUUACAUUGUUAUAGAACCUCCAUCUCAUGCAUGUAUGCAUGCACAGAGUACGUACAUCUUUCUAGUAAUAGAUGGAUAAAAACUAUUUUUAUGCAUGCUUCCUCGUAUUACUAACCUUGGUUGCAAAUUGCAAUAUGUGAUUGCUUUUAUUUUUUUCUUCUAUCUCAUGCAUUCACUUGUGCACACAAUUCAUUGUUGCCAAUUUCAAUUCUUGCAGAAUUAGAGAAGGACCAUAGAAGAUGUCAGCAAAAGUGGUUUGCAUGAUGAGUUUCUACUUUCUAUUCUUCUUUUAUUGUCUAAGGUCAUCCUAAUAAUGGAUUAUUAAUAUUAUGUAAUUGGUUUGUAUGAUAAGUGCUUUCUCUUCUUCUUUUAUUGUGUCUAAGGUCAUCCUAGCUAAAAAUGAAUCAACAUUAGAAUAGUGUACGUGCUAGCAUUGACAUAGCAAGCCAUAACACAACUGCUUGCUCUCUAUUGUCAUAGGGGUUGCACAUAAGAGGAGAAUGAGCAAGAGUUAUACAACCGGCUCCCUUUCUAUAAAUUUAUUAUUAUGAAAAUUACAAGAUAAUUAACACUAAUAAAAAAUUUUAAAACUUAGAAAAAAUUGUCGAGAUUUAUUCGAUGACUAUUAUUAUUGAAUGUUUAAAUUAAAAAUAAAUUAGAAAUACGCACUAUUAUCUUGGAAAUAGUGAGUAGCAUGGUUGUGAUACAAUUCAUUUACAUUGUUGUAAACAUAAUUUAGCAUAGUUGUAAACACCAAGAAUAGAAUUAUUAUAAAUAUUUAAAAAUAUAAGGACAAAUAUAAUAAAUGAUAUAAAUGUAAAUAUGAUAAAUGAUGUUAUUAUAAAUGUUUCUAAAAAUAAGGUUAAACAAUGUGUCACAACAAAAAUCAUUUGAGUCUCUAUUAUAAAUCAUAGAUUAAAAAUAAAUCAGUAAUGUAUUAUAAUACUGAUUGCAUAGUUGUAAUACAAUGAAUUGACAUUUUUGUAAAUAUAAUAGGUAGCACAAUUAUAAAUGUGAUGAAUAGUAUCAUUGUAAAUAUUUCAAUAAAUAAAUAUAAAUAUAAUAAUGACAUUUUAUUAAAUAUGAUGCAUGUGUAGACAUAAAACAAGAAAAAGAAAAAGUGUAUUAAAUUACCACUAAAUUGAUCAUUAAACUUGUGACUUUUUAGUUCAAUAAAAAUUUGAUUUGACAAGGGAUGAAUCACAUAUGUUAAACAUGUGACAUGCCAUUCAAAAGGUUACAUAUGACAAAAUUUGGAAGGUUAUAAAAUCAAAUCUUACAAAAUAAAAUCAAAUAAAAUGAUUAAAGUCGAAUUAGAAAAAAAUAUUGUCCUGUUUAUAAAUUGUAUUCAAAAUGAAGGAAAUAAAUUUUUUAAUUGAAGUCAAAAGGAAAUUAAGAAGAAAUAUUUUCAUGUCCACAAAUUUCUUAAGUGAAUGAGAUAAUUUGUUUAAAUCAAGGAGUCAAAUUCUUUGAAUUAAAGAAUUAAAUCUUAAGGAUUUCAAAUUCUAAUAUUUAAUUUCAUUCAUAGAUAAAGGUGACUUUCUAAGAUGAAGGUGGAUGGAAGAAAAAGCUUUACCAUAGAAAUGGCUUGAUAGGAGGGUUUGACAAAGAUUAAUGCCCUCAUGCUCUCCACCAUGAUGAACAAGCUAUGCUAAAUCCCUCAAUUGAACUUCUAAAAAAAAAAAAAAAAAUCUUAUUAUCAUUCAAGUGGUUAACUCAAACAAAGUUUCACAAUAAAAGCUAUUUUCGGCUUUUAUUAUAGGUCACUGACCCAAAGAUCAAUAUUGUGAAUCUAUGGUGAGAUUUUCUCCUCUUAUAGAACUCCUAAAAUAGACCUCAUGGCUUGGAAUACCCACUAAACUAUUUUAAAUAAUAAAUAUAGUAAAAGGCUUGGUUGAAGAUCAUAUGAAAAAGAAGACUUCAUUCCACAAAAACUUGUCCAUAUAUUUGGCCUCAGACAAGUCAAGUGGGAAUUAUUUGUUUAAGAACAAUGUACAAUGAAUGAUGUGUUGAACAAUUAGCAAAUUUACUUGAAAUUAAAACAAUAACUUGGUGUUGGAGAUAUUAAACUAAUUUAAAUUUUAAGUCAAACAUAAUAAAAGACUUUAUCCAAGAUCUUGUAUUGUAUGGAAUAAAAAUUGACUUCUUGUUUUAUGUGUUUUUACGAUUUUAUUGUUCAAGUCAUGAAGGCAUAUCAAACCAUCAAUCCUCUAGAUCUUCAUAAGUUGAUCAUAAAAAUACAAAUCCUUAUGCUACUCAAAACUUGUGUAUACAUCCCAUGAAACUUGUAUAUAUUCGUGAUAUUACUAACGAUUUGAAAAUUAAACUAGAUUGAUCAGUUUCAUCGGUUUAAUAACAUAAUGAUCAUUACAAAAGUUAUAAAAUUAUCAUUUAUAUAAUUUGGACAUAUGGAUAAAAUUAAAUAAUAGAAAUUUUCCUCUAUUUUGUACAAGUUCAUAGUUAAACAUUAUGCAUAUUUUGUUUAAUAAAAUUUAAAAUAUUAAUAUAUUAUAUUUAUCUUAUGAUUUAAUUUGAUACUAUUAAAGAUAAAAAAAAAUUAAUUAUAUAUAUUUGGACAGUUAUAAUUAUUUUUUAUUUUAGUAAUAUAUAAAUUAUCUAUUUAGAACAUCAUGAUCGUUCAAUAGUGGUUCAACUAUUGAUUUGAUUAUUGAACCAUGAAUCGAUAAUUUUUUUAAUUCAAUGACCGAUUCAGUUAUAAAAAUAUUAGACAUUAUUAUUUACUAACUAUAAAACUAGUCUAAACAAAGCCUAAAUGUGAAAGUUGGCUAAAGGGAAGGGUCACCUUCAUUCCAAUGUUAUAAAAGAGAGCGGGGUUUUCAUUUCCAUGAACUGCUCAGCUAUGUACGACAAAAAAAUUUUCAUUUGAUGUUGGCUAGAUCUUGAAAUUAAUUUUUAAUAUGUACCAUAUAGAAAACAAAUUCUCAUUUUUCCUUCACUCUUAAUGCUUGGAAGUAUUGAGUUAUUUUGAAAAAAAUAAUAAAAAUAAUAAAGAGAAGCAUACCAAUGUAACUCCUAAAUAGUGCCAGAGCAAGAAAAUCUCACAUUUUGGUAAGUUUAUUGAAAGUAUAGUGACAGGUCUAAUACAAGGCAUUUCAGAACAACUUAAUGCUUACUAGUAUCAGUCUUGUCCUAUCUAAGAAAUUAGUUGUUAUUCUCAAAUACUCUAAUUCCUUCAAAUAGGGAGGGUUGUGUUUGGGUGAUUGCUCUUGAAUCCAUCUUCUAGUGAUUGUGCUUUCAUGUCGAGGGACUUUACGUAUUAUAAUAAAACCUUGACAAAUAAACCUUUUAUAAAUUCAUAAUUUCAAUUAAAAAAUAAAAUCUUUUGGUCUCAGGCCAAUUUACAAAAUUAAUAACCUUGUUGAAUGUACAAGAUAAUGUUUUUUUAUAUUAAAAAAAAUCCUUGAAAACCCAAGAAAAUAUAAAUUAAUAAUUGAAGUCCACAAAAAAUAGUAAAUAAAAAUUUAUUAUACUAUAUUUAGUAAUGUUUUUAAAACUUAUAUUUUUCUCAAUUCAAUAUUUUCUCAAAACCAUAACAUAUUUAAAACCAUUUUAUCUUCUAUAAUAUUAACUUUUGAUAUAAUAUUUCUUCCUUUUACAACUUUUUUUAACUUUUAUAAUUAAUAACCAUAUCUUUUUUUAGAGUCUUAAGUUUCUAUGUAUUAAUUUUUGAAUACAUUCAUAAUUUUUUGUUGUGAAUUUAUAAAUCAUACAUGUAUAAUUACUUACAAAAGAAACAUAACAUUUUUUUUUAAUAAAUUACUAAUUAUUCAUUUAUUGAUAAAUCAAUAACCUCAUUAAGAUAAUAAUUUUUUUGAUGUAAUGCUUUUACUUUUCUAAAUUUUCAACAAAGCCAUGACCAAGAAAACUAAAAAUGGCUAAGAUAAUAUGUUAGUUUACAACUGAUUCAUCCAAGUUAAGUCUAUUAGAGACUAGAAUAAUAUGAAUUGAUUAAAUAAAUGGAAAGACCUGUACACCAAUAAAAGAAUUAUAACUAAAUUCUCAAGUAUCAUUGAUCAAAUCACAAUAUAUUUGGCCUAUGAAAUGAUGGUUUGAUGUGCCUCUACAUUUGGAUCAUAAACAAGUGUUCACAAUAUGAGAUAUAACUAUUCAAGCAUUUGGAAAAAUAACUAGAAUGUUGGGUACUAGGAAUUGGUUACAAAAUAUUUAUGAAGUUAAUAGAUAUGAAAUAUCCUCAACAACACAUUCAUUGCUUAAUAUCAAUACAUAUAGGCAAGAAUAAUACUAAUAAAGUUUCCUAAAUUCACUAACAAUUUAAAUCAUGGAGAGUUGAAUUGUAGCAAUCUAGAAAUAUCAAGCUUUAAAGCAAAGCAUACAAAAGAUCUAGCUUAUUUAUUGAAAGAAAUCAAGACACUUAGAGAGAAAAACCUUCCGCUAGUUAAUUUAAAUGAAGGAAAUAUCAUUAACUAGCGUCUUUCUGCCAAGGAUGGUAUCUGUGCAGCUCCUCAAAAGAAGGAAAUCUCACAUACCUGACAAAAAAAAUGAAGACAAUAAGAACAAAAAGCCCUUAUACUAAGAUAAGAUAAUAUAUAUAUAUCAUAUAUGUCAAAGAAAAAUACAAACACCUAUUCAUUUUUCUUCAUAUAGAAAAAUUAAAUCAGUUGUCCUGGUUGUGGUCUGUCAUCAUCUUCAUCCUCCUAUUCAUCCUCUCACUUCUCUCCCACUCCCUCCUCUUUCUAUCCCUCUCCACCAUCCUCAUCUUUCUCAUCACAUCCUCCUCUUCGUUGACCUCAUCAUCAUCGUUGUUGACCACAUCAUCGGUCACUAUCUCCAUAAUCCCAUUCUUUAGAAUCCUGGGCAUUCGAUACACAAAACAUCACAAUGGGUAGGAAUAAGGAAAAGUAUAAUAAUAAAAGUUUUAAAAAGCAAUUAGGAUAGGAGCACAAAUCAUGGAAUGGUAGAUCAAACUACUGCUAUAUUGUAUCCUUGUCUCCUUUAGAAGUGAUAGUGUAUUUAGCCCAGAAUCUUGGGCUAGAGUUGGACAACAUUUGGUAAAGACCCAUAAACAACGUUAAGUCCCAGCAGGUUCUUCUAUCCACAAAUGAGAGUAAGAAUUUCGUAUAAUUGUUUGCCUUUAACCUUUGACCAAAGGAAGGACAUCACUAUCAAUAUGAACAUGUCCAUUGCUUAUCUCCAAAGAUUGAAUGUUUUUGUUAACAAAAUAAAAAAUUAAAAGUUGCGUGAUUAAAUGUUUACAAUAAGUGACAAAGACUGGACAAUCCUUACUUCACUUAUUGCUCCUAAAUGAUGUGUAUUCCAUCAUAAAAUUAAUUUUCGGUACUUUGAAACAAAUCUAAGCAAAAUAAAAUUUCUAUUUUCUUCGUACUUUUGCUUGUGACUAGUUGAAUUGAUAGUUUGUGAAACCCAACACAACUAUCAUUCACCCUAGGUUCUAACAACACUUCAAUUUUCUAAUCCAAUUAAACUCCUUAACUCAAAAACAAAGUAGAAAAGGAAAACACUAUGUACAAUAGAUAAUCAUUUUCUAUCAAUAUCCAAUAUUAUCCUCAAUCAAACAUCAAAUAUUAAAGAAUUUUGAAAUUUUGAGAAUGAUUUACCUUCAAAUGUGUUUGUAUUCUAACUUAUAAUUUCAACCAUAAUAAUAGACUGUCUCAAGGUCUACAUUUAAACUAACUGAAAAUCUAUGUAUGAAUAUUUUGGCAAACACUUUUUGCACAAAAAACCCCUUGACCUCUUCAUGCUUGCCUUUAAAUUUGUUGAAAUUCCUAGGAAUGGUUACUCAUGUUUUAAAGGUUAGGCAUCAAAGAUUGGUAGGUAUAGCUACUAAGCUAAGGGAACAAUUAACAACUAACAAAGCAAACUUAACCCAAAUAGACAAUAAACUAAGCAACAACAAACAAUAAGAGCAUAAAAGGAUCCAUACAAACCCAUGCAGAAUUCUGCUUCCAUCAAAUCAGGUUCCUUGUACUAAAAAAUUAAACAGACUAAACAUAACACAAACAUUAUAUGGGUUUGCUCUGUGUCUUUUUCUCACAGUUAGACAAAUUUCUGAGAGAUGAAAAAGAAAUAAAAUUAGAAUUCACAAAUUUCUAAAGAAUCGCGAAGGUGAAAAAUAGUGUUUAUAAUAUAAUGACAUUAGAAAAUUUCAAGAUAUAUACCUUCUCCAAAGCUGUAUUAUGGAUGAUGGUAUUGAUGUCACACCCCAAAAAAUGCUCUUCCGCAUGAUCGUCAAUUUUUACUUCCUUUACCCUUGGUGUACUUGGGACUGUCUCACAAAAAUAUUCCAUCUGAGGGCAUCCUUUCACCUCAAAUUGUUCCAAGGAUGGGAAUUUGAAGAUACAUCUAGUUGAGCAGAACCAUUUUAGACUUUGUAAGUGAACAAGUCUCAACCUUUGUAAUUUGGAGAAAACAAUAUCAUAUGGUUCUUCACCUCCCUCAUGUCUGACUAUUUCUUCCACCAAUUCGCAUUUUUCUAUAGUAAGCACUUUGAGCUGCACCAAUGUUUUAGCCAUUGAGGAAGUCACCAGAUAUAUUAAAUUUCCACAACCACGUACUUCUAGAGAAUGAAGAUUCUUAAAAAUUUGACCUGUCUCAACUUGAUAUUCCUUAUCAACAAGUUCGAAUACCUCUUUCACUGAAUUACACUUGUUCACAUGAAGUUCCUCUAGAUUAUGCAACUUUGGAAGCACAUUGGAGGGGAUCACAACCAAAAUGUCGUGACACUCUCUUAUCCUCAAAAGUCUCAGCUUGCAAAAUGACUCCCCUGAAAAUUGGCCUUGCCAUAUUUUCAUCUUGGGGCCCAUUAAGAUCAAUUGCUCCAAAUUAAGGAAUGCAUCCUGACAACCAAACAAACAAGAUUAACGAUAUGUCUUCUAUCUCUCUCUCUCUCUCUCUCUCUCUCUCUCCCCCCUCCCCAAACCCCCCUCUCCAACCUCCCUUUUUGUGGCUAAAUAAAUAAGUUAUAUACACAAUUGUAUGUACAAAAAUAUUUUAAAAUAAAGUAAAAAAGAAUACUCUUGUGGCAUACAAUUUUUUUUUUCUUAUUGUUAUGACUUAUAACUAAGGACCAUGUUUGUUUACUUACCAAAUUAAAAAAAAAAAAAAGUUUUCCAUAAUUUCCUUUCUAAUUUAUACUUAAUUACAUGAGUUUAGUUUCUUUUUUAUGUAUUUCAUCCAACGGCCCAUGCCAAAAAUUAAGUUAGGGGGAAAAAAAAUUUAGGAAUUAAUUUCAAGGAAAAAGAAAAGAAAAAAAAAAUUACCUAUGUAGCUUGAUGGCUAAUCAACAUUGCCCUUACAACUAAUGUCACAAUUAAACACAUACACAUAUUAUUUUCCAUACAAGAUAACAAACCACUACAUCUAAAUAAUCCAUUUCAAUUAUUUGCACUAUAUAUUAAUGACCAAAGACUCUCCCAAAUAAUUAGCACUUGACAUAUUUUGAUGCAAUAUAGAAAUUACCAUAUCUUGGUUUGAGAAUAAUUUAAAUAAACCAAUUCUUAUGGUUUUAUAUGAAUUCUUUGAAUUCAAUAUUAAUGUAAGCAUAACAUAAAAAAAGAGGCUUCAAAAUAAUUUAUUUUCAUUAUAGGUUCAAUCAUGUUAAUUUAAAUAAAUCAAUUAUUUAAAUUUAUUAUAAUUUGUUGGUUCUAUUACAUAAAAUUAUAAUUUGACCAUGAAGGUAUAAUUGUUGGAUAAACCAUAAUGCAUGCUAUACCUACAAACUCCUAUGACUUGUAACUGACUAUUUCUUAUUCUUUGGAUUACCAAGUCAUUUUAUCGUAAUUUGAUUAAUUUAGAAAUGGAACAUAAGCUUACUUAGGUCAAUUUUGGAUAAGUUUUAUACAAAAUGUAGACUUCAAAUUCCAACACUAUUCAAGUUUAAGAUUAAAACAUUAUCAUAUUAAUGAAAAAUGAUUAGGACGUAGUGUUUAAUGGACUAAAUUUAGCAAUCCAAAUAUGGCAAAAGAAAUGGAGAAAAACCAAACCAUACCUUUUCCAACAAGAAGAAAGAUUGUUGAAUUGGACUAUCAAUAUAACCUUCUGAAUCUAUUUCUUGAAAAAGUGUCCCCACUUGAUCCCAUUUCAACAUAAUUAGCUUUUUCAAAUGUGGCCCUCUUGCAAUACGUGUUCCUCGGUAGAAACCUUUGAGUUUGUCUAAUCCUUCGAGUGUGAGAGAGGUUAGUUUAGGGAAUAAUGAAGACUUUACUUCAUCUCCAUGUUCAUUUGCAACAAUUUCCUCCACUCCACAAUUUAUUAUCUGUAGUUCAUGAAGUUGCACAAGGCCUUCUGCUACCGUAAUUGGAAAAAGAUAUUUUAAACAAGGACACCUAGCAACUUUUAAGAACAGUAGGUUUUGAAAGGAGACAAGUCCUUGAGGAUCCUUAUUCCAUACACUCUUCAAACUAUUUAGCCUCUCUAAAAACAAAUGAAGCAAUGGAAUGGUUGCAAUAUCAUGAAUUUCCUUGCAAUUUACUCCCUGUAGAUCAAAAAUCUCUUCUAUGGAAUCACAAUCAUCUAUUUUCACAUAUUCCAAACUUUGUAACCCUUUUAGGAUAUUGGAUGGAAAAACAUUUAGUAAUUUGUUGCACUUUGAUAUUUCCAAACUUUUAAAGUUGCAACAAGACUCUAGAGGAAGUUGGUUGUGCCAAAUUGCUAUCACAUUAUCCAAGGAUUCCAUUGUCAAGUCCUCCAAGCUAGGGAGUGUAACCUGCACAAUCGAUCACAUUUGGUUAACAAUAUGUAUACCCAUGUAUAUAUAUUCCCGAUUGAGUUAAUAACCAGAUACAUAAAUAAAUAGAAUAUAAGAGGUUAAAGGUCAAGAUAUCAAUGUGACAAAGCACAAAACUAGAAGAAAAUGAAAGAGAAUGCAUAAUAUUUUAACAAUUGAAUGGAAUUUAAAGAUGUUAAAUUUGAGAUGAUUUUCAAAUGGGGCAACAGGUUCCCAAUCUUUGGAUCUCUUUUUCAAAAUUGACAAAGCCUAAUGGAUUAUAUAUGUAUUUGAAGCACCCAUGAUAGCCAUCCAUCGAUAUGUUUCAUAGUCUUAUAACAAGUAUCUACUCUUUUUACCAUGCAGUGAUUCCAUUCAAAAUAUUCCACAUAAAUACAAUAAAAAUAACUAUUAAAGCGGGGUGGUUGAAGACCAGGUGGUUUAUGAUGAGGCCUUUCCUUCUAGUUUUUCCUUACUUAGGAAACCACAAAUGCAAUAGAUGCUCAGGCAUGAGCCUUCUUCAUUCACUAAUUAACCUAGCCUUUAGAUUCUUAAAGCUUGUUUGUUGGUGUAACAUAUAUAUAUUUGAGAAUAAUAUUUUUUUAAAUUUACACCAGUAUUUGAAAGUUGUUCUUGAAUAAAUUUUUAAAAAGAAAGUAAAAUAAAGAAUUAUUUUUAGAAAAUAAGUAGAAAUUACUUUCAUCUAUUUUUAAAAACAAAAGGAAACCAUCAACAAAUAAAAAAUAUAUAUUAGAAAAAAAUCAUUAAAAAAAUAAAGUUUAACAAAAUUUCAUGCCUCUAAAUUACACAAUUUUUUUCUAAAUUUCUUUUAACUUAAAUUUUUUUACUAUAAAAAGAGAUUCUAAAUCAAGUUACAUUUAAUAUAUAUAUAUAUAUAUAUAUAUAUAUAUAUAUAUAUAUAUAUAAUUUUAGAAUAAAAAAACUAAGGCAAUAAAUACUAGAAAAUCAUGGAACUUAAAAUCAAUCUAACUAAUAUUAAAAAAUAACAAUUUAAAUCUCAUCUUGAAUUACUUUACUAAUUUCUUCUUGACAAUAACUAUAUUUUUUAAUAGGCAAAUAAACCCCAAAUCAAGGAAGACUUGAUGUAUUGGAAUCUGGCAAGUUUAACAAUAAUUUAAAACUUUAAUACUAAUCUAAUGAAUUCAAAAAAUUUAUGAAUGAAAAUCGGUUCAAAACACUAUAGACAAAUAAACUCUAAAUCAAGUAAGACUUAAUAUUUAGAUUCACUAUCAAGUCUAUUAAAUUUAAAAAGUAAUUUAUGAUUCAUAAAAUAACCCAAUCACCACUAGAAAUUCAACGAUUAAAACUAGUCUAGAACAACUUUUUUUUUACUUCUCCUCUAUAUGUAAUUAUAUUUUGAUGAUUUUUUAUUAGAAAAUAAUUUUAAAUCAAACAAGACUUAAAAGUUUUAGAUUUAUUAAUGAUUGCACUCAUUUUUAAAAAUAAUCUGGAACUCAAAAAUAAGUUUAGACAAUAAUUGAAUAUAAUAAACCAAAACUAGUCCAAAAUGAGUCUAUGAGAGCUAUAUUGUUUCUCCUUUGCACCUUACUAUACUUUUCCAAUUUUUCUCAUUAAGUAAAUAAGCUAAAUAAAGUGAUAUCAAAACUUAAUGCUUUAGAUUCUCUAAUGAAUAUAUUAAUUUUUAAGAAUAAGAUGGAAUUAAAAAAAUUGACUGAAUUAAUUUUAAAUUGAAUCAAAAUUGGUUCAAAAUACUUUAUCCAUUGCUGAGUAUUGAAAAAUCUAACUUAUUUACAUAUAUAUAAAAAAAUAAACUUUAAUUUUUAAUUUAUUUUAAAUAAAACAUUAUUAAUCAUUAGCAUUUUUAAAUUAUAACCAUUCAUAUUUAACAAAAAAUCAAUUAUGCAUUUGUAAAAACAUUGAUAUCCAUAUUUUAUAAUUUAUAUUAAAAUGGCUCAAUUUCUAAAUUAAAAAAAAAAUCAUGAUUUUAUUAUAAUAUUAAUAUCCAUAUUUUAAUACAAACCAUUUAUUUUGUUAAUUUAUUAGUAAUUAAAAAAAAUUAUUUCCAUAAGACUUGAAUUAAAUCGAAUUAAUAUUAUAUAAAUCAACUUUACAUUUUUUUUUUUUUUACAAAAUCUAAAUAUAACAUUUAUUUUAAAAACGACAAAAGUUAAUAAACGAAUGAGUUUUUUUAUUUUUUGUUGUUUAAAAGUGUUUUUAAAAACAUUUCAAACACUCUUUAUUUUGAGAACAAAAAAUCUAGAAAAUUUUUUGGCAACUACCAAAAAAAAUAAAACCUGCUCUCCAAAACAUAAAGCAUGUGUUUCUUGUGAACAUAUUUUAGUUAUUUUAAUUGUUUUCACUUAAUUUAUUUGUUUAUUUAAAAAAAAACAAAUAUAAAGAAUAAUAAAAAAUAAAACAUUCCAUCUAAAAUUUAUUCUUAAAAAAUAUUUGAAAACAUAAAAAAUAAGUUGAAAACAUUGUAAGUUGUUAAUACACCUAUCAAAAAAAAAUUGUAAGUUAUUAAUGUACUCUACUCUAAAAAACAUCAUAGAAUUAUUUUAAAAAUUGUUUUCAAAAAUUGAUUUUUGAAUAAUGUAUUUAAAUUGGAUACUGGUUGUUUUAAUUUAUGUUUUCUCGUAAAUUUAUGGGGCAGAGAGACUAGAAAAGAAAAGGAAAGUGAUAAAAUUUAUGGGGGCAAAGCAUACUGCAUCCAUAUUAUGGAUAAAAUUAAGAUUAUUUUAAAUUGGAUACUGGUUGUUUUCAUUUAUGUUUUCUCAUAUUUUACUUAUUUAUUAAUGGCAGAAAUUGGAUAUCAUUCAAAUUUUAACAUACCUGUUCAUUGAAGAAUGGUGUGGGAACAUCACUCGUACAUAACUCCUGGGUAGCACUGCUUCCUGUGGAGGAGAAGUCCCGUGUCGAAUCCAAGGAUCCCAUUUCAGGUAACACCGAUCCAUUCUUUCCUUGCUCCAUCGGAAGGGAUAUGAAAGAUUUCAACCUCUUACAACCAAUCACUAGUAGAGAACGUAACUUCCCAAAAGAUCCCUCUGGAAUUGGACCAUAGCAUACUGCAUCCAUGUUAUAGAGAUUCCCAAGACGCAAUUCCUCCAAGAUAGGAAGGGCACUGUGUGAUGGGACCCCUUUGGUCGAGUCAACAAUGUAUUGAAUCCCAGGACAAUUUCCGAUAACAAGAUGCUUGAGUUGAAGAAAAUCAUCUGUAUCAAACUCGUAAAGGACAUGCUUAGUGUCCUCCAAGUCAUGCAAUUCUAAAACUUCAACUGUCUUGAACAGCUUGGAAAAGCAGUCCACCAAGCAAGGUUUGUUAACCCUCCAGAGCUUCAACGUUCUUGCGGAUCUAUUAUGAUCAACAUAUCCUGGAAUGGAAUACACUGAUAUCACAUAUCUGGUAAGCUUCUCAAAGACCAGAUCUUUUGAUAGCAAAUUGGGUACCGUUAUUUCUAUAUAUAAAGUCUUCAAAUAGGACAAGUUGUUCAGCUCAGAAAGGCAAGCAUUAUUGCUUUCUCCACUACCAAAUCCUUCAGCCCCCCAUUUGGUAAAACUUUUUGCUAAACAUAAAUGCUCCAAUCGAGAUAAACUUGAUAUGACAUUUUGGGGAAUUACUUCGAGAUGAGAGCAAUCCCACAAGUCCAGCACCCUUAGAUCAGUCAAUUGCAUGAAUUCUUUCGGCAACCGUUCAAUUUCGCAACUUGCAAAACUAAGAACUUGUAGUUUCUUUAGCUCUCCGAUUAAUGCCAUGUCUUGGAGUGUGCAUCGGUAUACACGCAAUGUUCGAAGAUUGGAAAGAAAACCAAGUGAUGAAGGCAGUGGUGUAAGAUGCCUUGCAGACAAGUCCAAAACUUUUAGUAGUUCCGUCUCUUGAAAAAAGGUGUUUGGAAUUCUCAAAGACGGAUCAUUACCAUUCAAUAAAAAGAAUUCAAGUUUGGAACAUACCAAUCUUUCCGGAAGCUCACGGAGAUCUCCGCAUUGCAAAGAUAUACGACUGCAAUUUCUGAACUCCUCCUUCCUUUGCCAUUCUUCUAAUCCAAGAGCUUCUUUGAUCACAACAAAUCGAUGAGGAUCUUUUGCUGCAAUUGCUCUGGCAACAUCACCAACAACAUCAUGCAUUCUGACAAACUUGUUUUCAUCAUUAUUUCCGAAAAACACACCUGGCCCCACACCUGACCGAUAACGAUCUUCAGCAUCAAGCAGCAAGCUCGAGUCUUUGAGGAUUUUGACCAAUGUCACUAGUUUAUUUCUUAUUUGCUCCAAUGAACUCACGUGUUCAAACAAAUCCAAACCCAUGCCAUAUUUUAACAAUUGAUCCAGUGAAAUAUCACCAUAGCCCAGCAUACCACAAAGUAAGAACAAACGCUUCACUUCAUCACCUUUCAAGUGGUUGUAGCUCAACUCCAGACAUGAGUAUACUUUUUCAUGCACGUCCUCGAUGUUUAUUGCUGCAGAAUUCUCCAGUUCUAGCAAAGCAUUGUUCCACACAGCCUCAUCACUCUCGCCUUUUAACGCCUUUGCAACUGUUACAAUGGCAACUGGUAGACCAUCACAUUCUCUAAGUACUUUAAUUGCUAUGGAUUUAAGCUGCUCCACUGAAUCACCUGCUGUCUUCUUAAAUAAACUCCAGGCUUCCUCUUCACAUAAAUGUUGAACACGGAAGUUUUUUUGAGUAGCCAUCUUUCUAGAUAACACACCCUGUUUUCUGGAAGUCAGCAGCACUUUACACCCCCUAUGAGCAUCUCCAUGAGGAAUUCCGAUGUUUUCCAGACUAAGUUCUUCCCAAAUAUCAUCCAGAAUCACCAGGACCGUCUUAUUUUUUUGCAAACUUUUGCUUAAGCGGGCUGCUCUUCCCGAUUCCUCUUCCUCCUCAAAUUUCAAACCUAACAUGCUUGCAAUUUCUCCUUGAAUUUUUGUCACGUUCGGAACUCGGGAUAUAUUUAAUGCCAUAACCACCUUUUCAAAUAACUUAUCUUCCUCGGCCUUUUUCGCUACUUGAUUGGCAAGAGUGGUUUUGCCCACACCGCCCAUCCCCCACACACCAAUCAUUCUGAUAUCAUCAUUUCUCAAGGCCUCCAUAAUUUCGUUUAAAAUAGAUGCCCUCGAUUCCAAAGCUCCACAAUCUCUGAGGCGUGGAGACCAUAUCCCUUGUGGAGGAAGGCCAUAUGAUACCCUGUUAAAUUUAUUUUCUUCUUGGAUUUUACCAAUAUCCCCAGACUGCUUCUUCGCUUGCCUGCUUCGCUGGUACCGCAACUUUAAAUUGAAACAGCUCGUGCUUGCAGCCUUCUCAUCUUCAAUCAAUUCCUUUGCCGUUUGGAUGAUCCCUUCUGUACGUGUCAGCCACUUCUGGACAUCAGGUUCGAUCUCAUCCCCUUGCCUAUUAGCGUCAUCCACAUCUCGCUGCCGCCUCUCCCUUGCAUCACCCAGCUUGUCAACUUGUUCCUCAAGGUUAUCAAGGUUGCUACGGUAGUUAAACAGGUAACCCAGUGGACGUACAAUGGGAGCAACCAGGUACUCUGCAACUUUUGCUGCAAUGGAAAUAAGAAUUUCUGCCAUUUCCCAAGUUUUCUUUCUCUAGAAAUAGAUGGGAAUUGUGCAACAGCAGAUAUCAAAAAGGGAAACGACAGCAGGAGAAGGAAAACACACUAAAAUUUUUGAUAUUUAAUUGAGUGUGACAGAUGAAAAUAAGGAGAUGAAAGGUUGGAGGUAUCAAAAGAGCAGAGUAUGUGGAAGGUUUCAGCUAUCAAAGAAACAAGAAUUUUUUCUUUUUCUUUUUUUCUUUUUUUCCAAAGAGGGAGAAGGGAAACACACCAACAAAUAGGAAAAUGAGAUUGGUUACUAGUAAGAAAGAGAACAAAGGGCAGAGAGCGGGAAUAUUGAGUGAUGAACUGACAAAUGGGCUACAGAUUCAGAUUCAAGAGAAAAAGCUCAAUCAAUGCUAUUGGAAUCAACUAGACAAAAGGAAAACCAGAGAAGGAGAAGUGAGACCGGCCCAGCCAAAUUAAGAUUUUCACGGAGCAGAACACCGGAUUGAAAGCGGGAUCUGGACGAGUUAGGAUGGAGGUGAAGAGAAGGGAGUGAUUAUGGACGAGUAAAUCGCAGAAGAAUGAAAGCAGUAGAGAGAAGGGCCUCAGGAGAAGGAAAACACACAAAAAAAAUGGUAUUCAAUUGAGUGUGACAGAUGAAAAUAAGGAGAUGAAAG